rnacentral:lncRNA from 1 species
CUCAUAACUGUUUUCAAUAAAGGUCCCAAAUUGAGCUUUUUCGGGAAUACUACCUGACAAGUUGUUGUAUGCCACGCUGAAAACCUCCAAAGAGUUCAACUCUACCAACUGAUUGGGGAUUUCACCACUCAAAUUGUUGUAAGAAAGGUCCAAACUCUCAAUUUGAUGUAGUUUUGCGAAUGACGAGGGUAUAACUCCUGUCAACUUAUUGUGCGACAAGUUUAAAGAAUGGAUUUCACUUAAGUUCCCUAAUUCUGGUGGGAUAUGACCAGUUAAGUUGUUGCAAGAUAAAUCAAUCCCGGUCAUAUAUGAAAGGAUGUUGUCCUCGUACAAAAAGAACCCACUCUUUGUUGUGAACUCUAUUACUUCUUCUAAGUAGCUGUCAGGAUAGUAAGAAUCCAUUCCCAAAUUUAGUAUCAUACUGCGUGUUGUUUCAUCCUCUUCUAUAGGCCCAUAGAACUCAGUGUCUAGAAUCUUCUUCGUUUGCAUUAGAAGAGAUAAAUUUCCCAAGCAAGAAGGUAUAGGACCAGAAAACAUAUUUUGAGAAAGAUCUAUGAUGCUUAAAGAAUGCAACUUGCAUAACUCAACAGGAACUUUACCAUGAAAAUGAUUAUCUUUCAAGAGAAGAACACUCAAAGAAGAAAGCGUGUAAAUCCAUUUUGGAAUACUACCUGUCAAAUUGUUUCCUCUAAGAUCUAAAGUCACUAUUGAAGAGCUAUUAUAAAAAGCAAGCGACAGUGGGCCUCUCAGUCUAUUCCCGUGGAUGUGGACAUGCUCUAUGUAUGGUGGAUUAAAACAUGACGGUAUAGAGCCAGAUAAAUUAUUCUGAGAAAGAUCCAAAAAUUCCAACCUAUUCAACUUGCAAAAUUCCAUUGGAAUAGAACCUUCAAAACCAUUAUUAGACAAAUCUAAUCUCCACAAAAAUGAUGCAUUCCCUAUCCAUCUUGGGAGCUUUCCAUGCAACUUGUUGUUACUGAGAUCAAUUUCCCAUAGUGAAUUUGGAAACUCAAAAGUAGACGCAUUAACAUUUGUCAUCUCUCCUGAAAAAUUGUUUCCAUCCAAAUAUAAAUUCUCCACCCCAUUCACGCUGAGAAUCACAGGAACUACAUUUCCACUGAAAUUGUUAUUUGAUAGUCUCAAAAUGAUCAGUGAGCCUUUCGUGAUCAACUCUUCUGGUACUUUUCCAUACAAUUGAUUGUUUGAUAGAUCUAAAAAUGAUAAGUACUUCAUGCCACUUAAACAAAGUGGGAUAUUACCUUCAAAAGCAUUCUUGGAUAAGAAUAACCGCCUCAAAUGUGGAAAAGUUGAACAUAUACCAGUCGGAAUUUGACCUUGUAAUUUGUUUUCAGAUAUGUCAAUUGAAGAUACAUUAGAAAUAAGAGCUGACGAACGUGAGAGAGGACCUGUAAAUGAAUUACCCUUCAAGAUGAGUUCUUCUAACUUUGUGUUGUUUUCUAGCAACCAAGUUGGUAAAGUUCCACUGAGAUUGUUAUGAGAAAGAUCCACAUAUCUCAAGUCAUAUUGGUAGUAAAGGAAGGUAGGAACUUUUCGACUGAGUUGUUGAGAUGUUAUGCACUUUGACAAACUGAUGACUUCCAAUUGGAACUUUGGGAUUGAGGUAUAAAAGAAAGGUUCCAAUACCAUUUUGUUUUCAUUACUGGAGAGGGCUUUGAGGUUUGAAAGGUUUGCAAAUGGUGCAAAUGACAGUGGAAUUUGAAAAUGGUUUCUUGAAAUAUCUAACACACGAAGAGAUGUCAAGUUACUAAAACAAUGAGGAAGCAUCCCCUCAAGUGCAUUCUCACUCACUUCCAACACUUCAAGGUUCCUUAGAUCACACCAUCCUGAAAAUUUUAUAAAUUCAUGGAAGAAGUUUCAAUUAAAUCUUGUUUUAUAAAACAGAAUAGGAUAUAAUAUAUUACAGAAAGCACAUACAGCAAUCAAUUUGAGCCAUAAAAUUAUUUACCUUGAUUAGGUAAGGGACCAAUAAGUCCACAAUCAGAUAAAGACAAUGUUUUAAGAGAAGCAAAUACUCCAAUGCUUUGCAAAAUGUUGGUGUUGAGAGUAGAAUUGUCAAGAUAUAUUUCCUCCAAAUUGCUCAACACAUUUGAAUCUAAGCAAUGUCAAGAGGUAUUAGAUAACGGUAUUAUAGAAAGCCUCUACUAAGUGAAAUGCUUUAUUUUCUGUGAAUGAAAUGAAAUAUAUAAAUAUAUUUUUUUUAUGAGUUAGACUAUUCAUGAUUAUCUGAGAUAAAUUUUGAUGGAGAGAAGAUGUUGAAACUUUAAUAUAACUCUUCAUCCAUUUUAUUAAUUAUACUAUUUUUUUUCUUUUUAGUAUUUUCUUAUAUUAUUUUUUAAUAUAAGUAAUUAACUGAUAUGGCUAAUUUGUAUAAUUUUCAAACUCCAAUCAACAACACUAUAAAUAAUAUUUAUAAAAUAAAACAUUUCUACACUAAAAUUAUUAUAUUACCUUUAAAGUUACCAAUACUUUUAAAAAAAAAUAAAAAUAGGUAUUUUACUCACCAAUAAAUAAAAUUCAAAAAUAUAUUUAUAUAUGAAAUUAAAAAAUUUAUAUGUAUUUUUACUUUUAAAAAAAUAAAAACAGGUAUUUUACCAAUACUCUAAUAUGUAUUUUUAUGUUUUAUACUAUUAAAAAUAUAUGAAAUUAAAAUAUAGUUAUAUUACAUAUUUUCUCAUAAAUAUAUGUUUUUAUUUAUUUAUAAUAUCAUUUUUUUAUUGUUAUAAUCAUUUUUUAUCUCAUAAAAAUUCAAUAAAUUAUUUUAAAAAAUAUAUUUAUACAAACAAAAUAAUUAUAAACAUUAAUAUUUUAAAAUAAUGAAAAUUUUAAAGAAUUUUAGUUUCAAACCAAAGUCAAAGCACAUUAUAAUGGAGGAUUUAGAAAAUGUUUCACCAAAUCCAUAUUUUACUUUCAAGUAUGAUAUGAUAUAACUUUAUUCAUAUUUAUGACAAUAACCGUUAUUAUAAUAUAUGAGAUAAAAACUAAAUUUCUAAAUUAAAAAAAAAGGGAAGUUUAAUUAAAUGAUACCAAAUCUUUCAAUUCAUUAUAGCUCAUAUAUAGUUCCCUUAAGUUGAUAAAUGCAUCCAAAUCUAGGAAAACAAAAACAACAAAUCAACUUCAUUAUAUUCUCUUAAAACAUUAUUAUAUUCUUGUUAAAAAUCUAAUAUUUUUACCUUUCAUAUCUAUUGAUCCUUUCAAUUGAUUGUCCCCUAUGCUCAAAUAUUUCAAAUUUGAAAGCUUGUUAAGGGACGCAAAUACACUAGUAUUGAAGAGAUUUCCAUCUAAAUUAAGCUCUUCCAAGUGGGUCAACUCCAAUUUUCUACCACCAUCUACAAAAGAUUUAUAUAAUUUCAUCACUGAAAUGAAUUGGCAUAAAAUUAAAUUAUCUGGAAGAAUUUAGGUAAUUGGUUAAAUAUAAAUGCAUACCUUUAAAGGAUUGCAAGCUUUCAAUUUGAUUCCAACUUAAAUCGAGUUUCUUCAAAUUUGUUAAAUUACUCAAUCCUAUACAUAUCCACGUACAAUUCAAAAAAAAUCAUUAUGUUAAUAAUUUUAAUUUCUACUUAAUAUUUUAAUGAAAUAAAAAUGAAAAAAAAAAGUAAAUCUAAAACUUGAAGUGAAGAUGAAAAUCCUCAAACGUGAAAUGUGAAUGUUCAAAAUUGAAACAAUUGAUUUUAAAAGGUUCUAGAAAGAAUUAUCAAGAAAAACAAAGUUAUAGCUUUAGUACCUUUAGUAUCUAAUGAGCCUUGCAAACUGUUCGACCUCAUAUCCAAGGACUUUAGGCUUGAAAGCCAUACAAGAAAGGAAAUUGUGUUGUUCCGAAAGAGAUUAUGACUCAAGUCAAGUUCCUCCAAGUUUGUUAACCUCAGUAGUGUUCCAUCUAUCAUUGGAAGAAAAUAAUGAGUAUAGUUAAUAUCAUCCAAGAUAUAAAUAGUUAGGAAAAAUGAUUGUUUGAGAAGGAAGAGGCAAUUUACAAGCUUUCCCAUGAAUUGAUAACUACAUUUUACAAGUAAAACUUAAUUGAUUCAAUAUAUAAAUACUUUGUUUGAGAUUCCUUCCUACUUUAAUUACUCAAUCCCAAAUAUUGAUUACUUAUAUAUAUUCAUGAUAUGAUAAAAGCAAAUGACUUAUUAAUUGCAACAGCUUUUCCUUCAACAUGAAUUUAAUGCUAUUCUUCAAAUAAUUCCAACUUAUAUCAAUAAUCUCCAAUCUAAUGAGCCAUUGAAAACCUGAUUUAUAUAUUAUAUAAUUAGUUACUACAAAACAUAAAUAAAUAAUAAUACUCCAUUUUUGCAAUAAAAAUUCACUAAAGAAAAUACAUUUGAAGUUUGUCAUUGCCUUUUGGAAUAAGAGUCGGUCAAGAAAGUUAUGCACAAAUACUUAUACCUUUGUUUGAGAUGCUUUCAAUUCUGUUCCAACUUAAAUCCAAGUAUUUCAAGUUUGUCAAAUUAUUCAAUCCUGAAAUUCAAUCCCAAAUAUUGAUUAGUUAUAUAUAUUCAUCGUAUGAUAAAAUUAAACUUGAACAUACAUUGAUUUUUAAACUUGAACUUAUAUCAAUAAUUUCCAAUCUAAUGAGCCAUUGAAAACCUCAUUUAUGAGCCACUGAAAAUAAUUUUUUCUUGAUUCAUAUCAUAUUUUAAUAUAUUAGCAUAUUGUUUUAAAAACUCAAAUAUGUUUAAAAUCAAUUUAGCAUUUAACCUUAAUAUUAGUAUUUAACACCGGUAAUGGAGUUUUUUUAACUCUACAAGUGAAGUUAAAAAAUGACCAAUAACCUACUUUUAAAUAUUUCUUUUUUAAUAUUUUACUAUACCAUAUAAGAUAUUUGUUGUUAUCUCAAUCCUACUUAUGAAGUUUAGAAUUUCUUUAAUAGUACCACCCCGAUUUUUUAAAAAAACCAGAUUUUUUUAAUUUGAUAAAAGAAAAGAAUUUCAUUCAUAGUACCAAAUAUUUAUAUUAUUUUUUUAGUAUUUUCUUAUAUUAUUUUUGAAUAUAAGUAAUUAGCUAAUAUAGCUAAUUUGUAUAAUUUUUAAACUCCAAUCAACAACACUAUAAAUAAUAUUUAUAAAAUAAAACAUGUCAACACUAAAAUUAUUAUAUUACCUUUAAAGUUACCAAUACUUUAUAAAAAAAAUCAAAUAGAUAUUUUACUCAGCAAUAAAUAAAAUUCAAAAGAAUUAUAAGUAAACUUAGCGGAUUAAAUGAAAAUUUUAAAGCACUAAAUAUUGGCCCAAAAACAAAGUUAAGUUAAAAUAUGUCAUAUCUCCCUUUUACUCUUUACAAACGUGAAGUUUUAAAAUUCAAGUCUAAUUAUUAAUACUGUUAAAAUUAUUUUAUUAAAUCCAUGUUCAUUAUGUCAUUUUUUAGUUACAUUGCUACCAAGUUUUUUUUUUAUUUCAAAAUGUUACACCAACAAAUUAUUUUAAAAAAUUAACAAUUUAAAUAAUUAAACUUGGAUUUUGAAAUUUAAAAAAAAUAGAGGGACUAAAUUCCUGAAUAUAAAAGUAUAAGAAUUAAAUUACAAAUUUGUAAAGAGUAUGUAGACCUAUGUUAAUAACAUGUGCAUUUUGAAAUUUAUAAAAAGUUUGCAAUGGAAGUUUAAGCACCUCUAAAUGUAGGUUUAAAUUUCAUAAAAUUGAAGUUUUUUUUUAAAUUAUUCAAAAUUGACAUUUAUUUAUUUUUGGCCAAAAAAUACCAUUUAUUUAACUCUAAUAUGUAUUUUUAUGUUUUAUACUAUUAAAAAUAUAUGAAAUUAAAAUAUAGUUAUAUUACAUAUUUUCCCAUAAAUAUAUGUAUUUUUUAUUUAUAAUAUCAUUUUUUAUUGUUAUAAUUAUUUUUUAUCUCAUAAAAAUUCAAUAAAUUAUUUUAAAAAUAUAGUUAUCAAACAAAAUAAUUAUAAACAUUAAUAUUUAAAAAUUAUGAAAAUUUUAAAGAAUUUUAGUUUCAAACCAAAGUUCAAAAACAUUAUAAUGGAGGGUUUAGAAAAUGUUUCACCAAACCCAUAUUUUACUUUCAAGUAUGAUAUGAUAUAACUUUAUUAAUAUUUAUGACAAUAACCGUCAUUAUAAUAUCUGAGAUCAAAACUAAAUUUCUAAAUUUUUUUUAAAAAAAGGAAGUUUAAUUAAAUGGUACCUUGGUGGAUCACCCAAUCUUUCAAUUCAUUGCCGCUCAUAUAUAGUUCCCUUAAGUUGAUAAAUGCUUCCAAAUCUAGGAAAACAAAAACAACAAAUCAACUUCAUUAUUAUAUUCUUGUUAAAAAUCUAAUAUUUUUACCUUUCAUAUCUAUUGAUCCUUUCAAUUGAUUGAACCUUAUGCUCAACGAUUUCAAAUUUGAAAGCUUGUUAAGGGAUGCAAAUACACUAGUAUUGAAGAGAUUUCCAUCUAAAUUAAGCUCUUCCAAGUGGGUCAACUCCAAUUUUCUACCACCAUCUACAAAAGAUUUAUAUAAUUUCAUCACUGAAAUGAAUUGCCAUAAAAUUUAAUUAUAUGUAAGAAUUUAGGUAAUUGGUUAAAUAUAAAUGCAUACCUUUAAAGGAUUGAAAGCUUUCAAUUUGAUUCCCACUUAAAUCGAGUUUCUUCAAAUUUGUUAAAUUGCUCAAUCCUAUACAUAUCCACGUCCAAUUAAAAAAAUCAUUAUGUUAAUAAUUUUAAUUCCUACUUAAAAUUUUAAAGAAAUAAAAAUGAAAAAAAAGUAAAUCUAAGACUUGAAGUGAAGAUGAAAAUCCUAAAACGUGAAAUGUGAAUGUUCAAAAUUGAAACAAUUAAUUUUAAAAGGCUCUAGAAAGAAUUAUCAAGAAAAACAAAGUUAUAGCUUUUUGUACCUUUAGUAUCUAAUGAGCCUUGUAAACCGUUCCAACUCAUAUCCAAGGACUUUAGGCUUGAAAGCCCUUGAAGAAAGGAAAUUGUGUUGUUCCGAAAGAGAUUAUCACUUAAAUAAAGUUCCUCUAAGUUUGUUAGCCUCAAUUGUGUUCCAUCUAUCAUUGGAAGAAAAUAAUAUCAUUCAAGAUAUAAAUAGUUAGAAAAAUGAUUGUUUGAGAAGGAAGAGCCAAUUUAGAAGCUUUCCCAUGAAUUGAUAACUACAUUUUACAAGUAAAACUUAAUUGAUUCAAUAUAUAAAUACUUUGUUUGAGAUACCUUCCUAUUUUGAAAUACUGCAACAUUAACUGUCCCUUAAACAAAAAUUGGUUUUAAAGUAAAAAAGAAACAUAUAAAACCAGUCUACCUUUAAUAUGAAUUGACAUAUAAAUACUGUACUUAUACCUUGGUUUGAGAUGCUUUCAAAUUUCAAUUCUGUUCCAACUUAAAUCCAAGUAUUUCAAGUUUGUCAAAUUAUUCAAUCAUAAAAUUCAAUCCCAAAUAUUGAUUAGUUAUAUAUUCAUCGUAUGAUGAAAUCAAACUUGAAUAUACAUUGAUUUUUAAAGUUGAAAAGAAACAGGUAAAAUCAGUCUACCUUGAAUAUGAUCCAUCCUUCCUUUCAACUCAUUACCACUCAAUCUUAAAGUCUUCAAGGAUGAAAGAUUUCUCAUAUGGAACAAAAUGCUAUUCUUCAAAGAAUUCCAACUUAAAUCAAGAGUUUCCAAGUUAUUGAGUCUUGAAAGCAAUUGAAAACCUGAUAUAUAUACAUAAUUACUUGUUAAUUGUUUUUUUCUUUCUUUGCUAUAUGAAAAUUUUACUAAAGCAAUAGUGGAAUUACAACGGAUAAAAAGAAUGGAAAACUAGGUACCAAACCCAGAAGACCAUCCUCAAACUCCACUAUACAAAUAAAAACUAACACCAGACCAAACUUAAUUUACCUCUUAGAUGACUUGAUCCUUCUAAUUUGUUGUGUGAUAGAUCUAAAUACCGGAGAGAUGAAAGCUCACUCAAAGAUAACAAAAUGCUGUCAUUCAAGUAGUUUUCACUUAAGUCAAGGAUCUCCAAAUUACUCAACGUGGAUGAUAGUUUUCCAAAGCCUAUAGAAAUAUUCUUUUAAAUAUAUACAAGUUAGUGACUUUUCUUCCAUAAAAUAAAAUAAAAUAUAAGUAAUUGCAAAUUAACGAUGGUGAGAGUAGUGGAAUAAUAAAAGAUGUAAUUAAGGAAAAACUAGAGGCACGACCUUCAUUUUCAAGAUUACCACUUAUGGCAUUCCCCGACAAAUAAAGACUCUUCAAUUCCUCAAAGGGAAGAAACAUAGAGGCAUUGAGAUACCAGGCAUUGAGAUUCCUAUUAUCCAUGUCGUAUUCCCAUUUUGUAGAAUUAAGGGAGAGUUGUAUGAGUCUCCUAGUGGUGGUGUUACACUCAACUCUUUCCCAUUUACAACAAUCUGAACCCUUCACCUCAACCCAACUAUUCAAUUGAUUACCAUCAUUGAAGAAAGGUUUGAGAUGCAAGAGAGCGAUUCUCUCAUGCUCCAAACAAGCAUCAGUAGUACACCAUCUGCAUCCUUCUAACACCAACAACAUUACUGCCAUCCUAAUAAACCUUAACCAUUUCCACUUCAUCAUCAUCAUCAUCUCUCUGUUUUCACUUCUCUCUCAGCUAUAUGUUACUUUUUUUUAACUUCUAUAUGUAUAUAAUCUAAAGAAGCCUAAGCUUCUUAUUUAUAUACAAGCAGAUGCAUCCCACUAACUCACUAUAAUGUAAAAAUAAUAUAUAAUUAAUUAAUUCCUCAAAAAUUGGAUCAAAAUCUAGGCUUCUUAUUUACGUAAAUUAUUUAUUGCAAAAACUCUUAGUGGAAAUUCGUUAGGAAGGGAUGAAGGGGCCACAAGAAUAUUGAUGUUAAUCUUGAAAAACGAAUUGCCAAAAAAAUAUGAAAAGUGAGAGGUGGACAUAAAAUCGUAUAGUUGGGAUUGCAAAAGUCUUCAUGUGGCUUUCUUGUGAGUUUCAUUUAUACCCUUCUUACACUUAUACAAACUUAGUCUUGACUUGGCUUUAUUAAUGGAAAAUUUAGAUCUUCAUUUUUGGUUUUAUUCAUAGAAAUUUUACUUCUUUGAUUUUGGUUUUAUUAAUGGAAAUUUUAAGUCUUCAGUUUGCUUUUAUUCUUGCACAUUUUAGGUUUUGAUUUUGAAAAUUUAGUUUUUUCAUCUCUAUUAUUAUAAAAUUUCUUAAUUUAAUUAAUAUCAUGAGUUAAUUUAAUACUUUAAAAAAUAAAAUAUUACAUUCACUAUUUUUUUAAAAAUAAAAGUAACUAUAAAAUUUUAUUAUUUAUAUAAUAUUUUAAAAAAAACUAUUUAUUUCUACUAGACCACUACUUUAAAACUAUCCAUUAUCAUAUUGUAAUAGGCCCAAUUUGCCCGGGCCCGGUAAAUAAAUAAAACCAAUAAAAUCAAAUAAAAAAUAGUCCCAAAACAGUCCAUUUACAAUGACCCAAUACCAACCCAAUGGCCUAAAUCUCUACCCAAGCCCGAAUCUAAACCUAAACAGGCCCAAACCCCACUAAACCUAAUGGCCCAAUACCCAGCUUGGCUGAGACAAACCCUAGCCUUCAGCAGCUUUCUGCUCUUGCGCUGCAGCCAAGCCGCUCCUCACGUACGAGCCUCAUUCAUGCGCCGCACCGAGCAACGCCAUCGCCAGGGACCACGCCUGUACUGUGCCACGUGAGCCUCCGUACAUGCGCGCCCGUUCACCUCUGUACCAGUACCUGCAAAUACACACAAGAAGCAGCGAAGCAACAAAAAAAAAAAGAAAAUAGCAGUAGAAAAAUAGGGGAUUUUCAGUUUUUAUUUGAUUUUUCUGGCUAUAAAAGCCAAACACGCAGAUUGUAUCAUAGGGGGAACUCACACAUAUUGCAAAAAAAAAGGGGCAGAAAAUCAAUACAAAAAAAAAAAGAAAAGGUUUUCUCUUCCUUCAGGUCUCUUUUCUUCUCCAAUUGUUUCUUUUCUUUUUCGUUUGUUAUUAGCCUCAUAUAAGUAUAGAUAUAUAUAGAGUAAAUAAUAACAAAAAGGGGGGGUUAAAACGUACCUGGUGAUGCCUUUGAAUCCACGCGAAGAAGCCAAAAAGCCUUGAAUGGUGAGGCUCCGACCACCAUUCGCAGUGGAAUCAAGGCGGAGGGGCGGACUGACGGCACUGAAGGGUGAAACCCUAGCAGAGGAAACAAUAAGCAAUUUUUUUUAAAAACGAGUCUGCUAAUGUUUUUUUAGGGUAAAUUUUGUUUAAAUAAUGAUACAAUACGGAGCCGUUUUGGGCUAGGGUUCCUAGCGCCCAAACGACAUCGUUUAGAGGCCUUACCCAAUGACCCGAUCCAGAUGGCGGCUAGAUCCGCGUGUUUGGUAGGAGGAGGGGAAAUUUCGCGAAGAGUCCCUCUUGUUUUGUGCCGUUUCGGUUUGAUUUUCUUCAUUGUUUUUAAUUUGAAUCGCGUAUUUUAUUUUGUUUUCAAUUUGAUCCAUAGUUAAACGGCACCGUUUUCACUAAUCGGAUUUGAGCAUCCGAACAUUUGUGUUUAUUUUCUGUUUUAGUCCUCUCUGUUAUUUUUUAUUAUGAUUUUUACCCUCCUAUUUUAUUUUCACCCUAAUUUAGUCCCGAAACUGUUAGAUUUCACUUUAUUUAUGCAAUGUAUAUAUUUAUUUAUUUUAAACUUUAUAUUAUUUAUUUUAAAUCGUUCUAUUACUAUUUAUUUUAAGCCUUUUUUACAUAUUAUAUGUUUUAAAUUAUGUUAAUCAAUUAUUCAUUUUAAAUAUAUAUUAUUUAUGUUAAACUACAAAUGUAUAUUAUUUAUUUGGAAUUGUUCUUAUGCACAUCAUGCAUUAUCAUUUUAAAAAAAAUAAUAAUAAUAGAAUUUGUUUGCAUAUUGUUCAUUUAGGAUUCCUUCUCACACAUUACUUAUUUUAAACGUUUUACAUAUUAUUUUAAAUUGUUUUAUAUGUUUUUUUUAAAUGCUUUGAAGAUUAUUCAUUUUAACUUGUUUUACACAUUAUUUUAUUAUGUAUGGAAUUGCUUUAAUAUAUAUAUACGUGAAUAAAACGUAUUGUAACUGGUAAUUUCUAAAAUUUUAUUCUACGUUUUAAAAUUUUUAUCAUUUCGAUUAUGUUGAUUGGUUUACUUGGGAUUAAAUUAUUAUUGCAUUGAUUAUUCUUUUUUUUUUUGAUUUUUUUGUUAGAUUGAUUAUUAGUUUAUUUGAUUAUCAAUGUUGAUGUAUUAUAUGUUUGGUUGCUCCAAAUUGUAAAUUUAGCUUGCUAUUCACCAUUUGAUUAGUAUAUUGAUAUUUUAUUAUAUUGUUUGUAAAAAUUGCAUUUCAUUAAAGCAUUACAAUUGUUUUAUUUCAAAAUUCUCAAAAAGCUUGGUAUUUAAAAAUUCUCGAGAGGAUUGUGCCCUAACUUACUGGGCUUCAAUCCUCCCUUUUUGAUUCUAAAUAACCGAAUACCUUUUUUAAUUUGAACAUAGAAGUUUCAAAAUAAAAGCUCAUUCUCGGGAAUUUGACACGUUGUGUCCUAACGCAUUGAAUAUGACUAUUAUUUUCUCGAGAUGAGGAUUUUAAGGCAAUGUUCGAUAUUUAGGAAUUUUGUGAAAUCGAACCCUAACUUACUAGGUCUUGAUUUUCUCAUUUGACCCAGAUAAUCGGAUAUCCUCCUCAAAAUGCAUAGGUUUUAAAAGACGAGAGAUAAACUUAACUUGGAGGACUUAAAAUGUUGCACUCUAACUUACUAAGUGUGACGAUUUAUUUCUUUGAAAUAAGUGAGUCUCGUCGUCCAAUUCAUUUUAUUCAAAAUAAAAGGAUCAAAUUUUAAAAUCUUUUCAAAAUUUUGACAUUAAGACAUUAAACAUUCCAAUCGGUACCAAUUUUGGGCGUCACGAGGGUGCUAACCCUUCCUCGUGCGUAACCGACUCCCGAACCCGUUUUCUCAAAAAUUCGCAGACCUAAAAUUAUUUUCAAGGUGAUCCGCACACCACAAUAAAAGAUCGGUGGCGACUCCAUUUCCAUUUUCAAAAUUGAUCCCCAUUUUUCAAAUUACAAAAAAAUGGCUUCGACAGCUUGGCGACUCCACUGGGAACGAUUUAGAGAGUCAAGCCAUAAAAUUGAUUGUUUUUGUCUUAUUGUCGAAAAUUAAAAUUUGAUUUGAAAAAUUACGCUCUUUUCUUUGCACUUGUUUGCAUGAUUAUUGUAAAUUAAGUUGCAUAUUUUGGCAUCAUUUUGCAUAAGACUGUUUAGUCUUGUCCUUUUAAGUGGGAGUGAGAAACUAGUCCUUCGUGAGGUUUUCACCUUCGUGCAGGAUAGUGGAUCACUUCCGGGAUACAUCCGUACCUAUGUCUUCGUGAGAUUUUCAUCUCCGUGCAGCCAUAGGGAAAUGUAUUCCCCUGAACCGAACUCGGUCUGUAUGAGCCUAUAAUGGGUGAAGAUCGAGGAAUCUACUGGUUCGGGUACCUUGACUUUAGAAACAACCCUCAUAUAGUGGACUUAGGAACCCAUCCUAGGUAGAGCCACUCCGAACCCCUAGUGGUCACCCGACUAGGCACUUUUGUUUUCCUUGUUUGCUUCUGUUUCGCACUAACCUAUCUUGUUUUGUUUUGAUUAUGAUUGCAUUUCAUUUGCAUCUUAGGAAGGAGACAUUGAUUCAAGUUCGAUUACUAAAUUAAAAAGCUUGUCAUGGAAUACGAAUUCCUUGAUAAAGUGGAAAACAAUACGACUUUCCGAAUAUAUUCUGAGAAACAUAAGAAGGGCGAUCGAAGAGUUCGCAACCUCGCUUCGUGGCCUAAGGAUUCAAGGCGAUUGUCUGAGAGCCUUCGACGUUCCACCCCCUUUAAAAGCUGACGAGCCUUAAGAAGAUGGAUAGAUGAUGGAUCGUGACCAAGAUCAAGAAAAGGAGCUAGUAAUGGCAUCUAUUGGUAAGAUUACCUCAAACGUGCGGAUGAAGAAAAAGAUCGAUGUUGGUUCUUGGAAUAUGAGGGCGAGGUCGUACAUGUAUCCGUUUUAUGUAAGGGAAUUUGCUUUCUAGAAAAGUUUUCUAAAUGUAAUUGAAUCAGAAUCAACGUCUCUUUAGGCAUUCAUUUCAUGUAUUUGCAUUACAUUGCAUUACAUGCAUUAAAAUCCAUUGAAAAAGUCUAAACGAGUAAAUUUAUUUCAGCUAACCUGGAAAACCAACCGACCAAACACCCUUACGAUAUCCAAGAAAAGACUAGAGAAAUGGAAUGAAGGUUGGAAAAAUUAGAGCGGAUGCAGAUUCAGAUGCGGGAGAGAUUGACUGAAUUUCAACAGGAGAUGAGAGAUCAGAUGCUAGAAUUACAGAGAACCUUGAUGAACCAGUUCAACUGACUACUAGCUGGAGAGUUAGAAAAAAAGAAGGACCCGGUGGUCCACUUUGGGGUUGAUAAUAAGGAUCUUGCCCAUUCCCUAGAUUAUACUCCGACAAGUGUCCAAGUCCAGCCGGAUGGGCGUCCACAUGGGGCACUCUUUACUAUCAGAUCACAACAGUAUCAAACUGGUACAGCAACACCGGUGGGUUGCUUGACAAACCCAAGGUCCAAUGCGAGGAACAAUUUUCCUGUUGCUCUCGAUGGCCCGGCUGAAACAAAGCAGGCAAGGGUGGAGUACCUAGGUACUACAAAGGCCCUAAGGAAGAAGGGGAAUAAAUGGGAUAAUGUAGGUAGGUAUAACAAGGGCCACUCAAAACCAAUCACUGCGGGCCAACAAAAGAUGGCAACCACCAGCCAUCAGAGCCCUUUAAAGCAAGACCCUUAUGUGAAACAAGGCACUGAGAACCUCCAGUUCACGCCAAUUUCGGUGUCGUAUAAGGAGCUGUAUCAAAGCUUAUUCAAUAUGCACAUUGUUGCCCCUCUCUACACGAAACCUCCACAGCCUCCGUACCCUAGAUGGCAUGACGCAAAUGCACGAUGUGAAUAUCAUGCAGGAAAUAUGGGGCAUUCCAUAGAAAACUGCAUUGCCUUUAAAAAAACUGAUUGAAAGGCUUAUCAGUAUGGGCGUCAUUAAAUUUGAUGAUUCCUCUAGUGUAUAAAAUACGCCGCCUAAUCAUAUUAAUGACGAGGCGAAUGAGGUGUACGAAGUAGUGUUGGGAAAUGUUCACAUCAACGACGUGUCUGAAGACACAAAUGGAAAGGGAUCUUGUUAGAUGUCCGCCCUUAUAAAUUCUGGAGUGUUCUAAAUAAUUAGACUGCGGAAGAAAUCCAUAUAGUCUCUAGAGCUUUUUAAGGUAAUGUUCAGAACAUUUUUGUUGGUUUUAGCCUAGAAAUGAUAGAAAUUCCUUUGUGAAAUAGGCUUAUGUCUGAACGUUGUUAUUUUAAUGAAAUACAUCUUUGCAAUUACUUCUGAGCCAAUAUUUUCAUUCUUUGCGAAUAAGUCCAUAUUCUUUCACUCUUUUGGAUUUUCUUCCAAACCAUCAUUCAUUCAUUCAUAAUUAUGUGAUAUAAAUAAUUAUUCAUAAAUUUAUACAUUCUUUUGUAUAUUCUUCGGUGCUUAUUAUGGGUCCCCAGAUAUCAAUUACUUGAAUGACACUGCUAAAGACUCAGAUUUUCCUUUUGAGCAAGGCAUGUGUUCAGAGGGAUCUCAGGACUUUGGGAAUGACAUAGAUCUAGCUUAUCUCAGACUUGUUGAGGAUGAUAGAACAAGAGAACCGACAGAUCCUACCUCACAAGGAAUCAUUAGGAAUUGUGGGCUUAGUGAAGAUUAGAAUUGACCUGACCUCAAAGAUGAAACAAGACCUUGUUCAGAGAUGUCUUUGUAGGAUCAUGCCAGGAUAUGCCGGGUUAAGCGCAACAACACAAUGACAAAAUUUGCAGUGUGAAUGACGUAAUGGAAAUUCUUUGCCGGGGCAAUGCACUUCUUGUUAACUCAGUAUAGCUUUGCCCAUUUGAAUUCGAGUUUCUAUUUCUUCAAGUUUUGUUGGAUUUUAUCUUGAUUGAAGAGGAGGAUCCAAAAUUUUCUAUCGUAGUUUCGCCCCAGAAGGCUCUAUGAAAGAAACCUAAUACCAAAGAGGGUUUUUCGCAUAUAGGAUGAAAGUGGAAGAUCUUAUCGAAAGGGAUAUCAUAGGCUUGCCCAAUCCUAAGGGUUUAGAUUCAAAAAAAAAAUCAAAAUAAAAAAAAGAAAAAUCAAAGUCAAAAGUAAAAAAAAAAAGAAAUCAAUCAAAGUCAAAACAAAUAUGAAAAGAGAAAAAGAAAGAAAAGGAGAGGCCAAGGCGAAAACCCGCAAAGGGAACUUUGUGACCAAAGGUGGUUUUGAGUUGAAAACCCGAAAAAGGUGACUCAAAUUUUGAGUAAAUUGAGGCAUGGACAUCACAAUUAUCGAAGAUUUCUAAUGGGCAUUGCUUCACUAUUGAGAUCAUUAAUUACUUCAUCAAAUGGAUAGAGGCUACUGCAUACGUUAAUGUCAUCAUAUGCCGAUAUAGAAUUCCAGAUUGGAUGGUAUUGGAAAUUGCAUUGAACUUGAAUGACAGCACGACAGCUGAAGGCUGCAAUCAGUUCAAAAUCAGGCACCACGGUUUGCCACUGUAUUGCAAGAUGAUGAAGUUAAAAAAAAGAAUGAAAAAUGAAAAUGAAAAAUGAAAAAUGGAGAGGCUAAGGGAAAACCCGCAAAGGGCACCUUAGGCCAAGGGGAUUUGAGUUGAAAACCCGAAAAGGGCGGCUCAAAUAUUUGUUCAGAAUGGGGCAUGAGGCGAUCAGAGCGAUUUGAAUUUUGAUAAUAUUGGGGCAUGUGGUGAUCUUGCUAUGCCUGAAUCAACAGGAGAGGAUAGGCGACAUCUUGGGGCAUCGACAAAGCACUGUAGAUCCCCUAAACACAUGUCCAACUCAAAAUAGUCUUCAGAGAGUCUGUACAGAGAAGUUCAAGCUGCGAUAUCUAGGGCACCCAAUUCUCAUAUUAUUUGUUGUUCUUGGAAUACUUUUUUCUUUUCCAAGAUAUACAUUCCCAAUUGUCAUCCUUCUUUACUAUUUUCGAUAAUUUGUUCUUUCGAGCUAUGCUCAGAACCAACUUUAUUCUUAUCCAUUGUUAUAACCCUUUUUGUAAACAUGUUGCAUUGGAAUAAUAAUUAAUGGACUAAUAAAACUUUCACAAGGGAAGUUUUGCAUAUUACUUUGAAAAGUUUCUAAGAAAUAUAGGAACCUGAAACAGGACUAUUGUUUAGAACGCACCAGGUAAAGGUUGGAAAUUUGAGAGGGAAGAGUCUAAAUUUGGGCUUUCUCUUUGGAUUUCAUUGUUAAAUGCAUUGAUUGACAGGAUGCCAUGAUUGGUGACAAAGCUUAAGUAUACAAGCAAGCAAUUAUCACCAGGUAAGAGGAGGAGGUUACCUCGGAGAAGAGAGCCUUCAUCUGCGCAUAAGUCUUUGGUACGACACCUUGGGAAUGGUGUAAGGAACUAGAACGACUCGGAUCCUGUAUCCUUGAAUUAUGAUAAGGAAGGAUUGAGGAAAGGCCAUAUAUUUCUACGCUUGGAUUACAGUGGGAGAAUGAAGGUACAAAAUUUGUGUCCCAGUGGUUUACAGUGGGGGCAAUCUGACUAAGUGAUUCUUCAGAAAAGCCAAUCGAGCAAGAAGGUGUUGUAACAACGUCAGCCUAAAAAAAACUCAGAGUAAUGACAACCUAAGCGGGAUCGUUCUCGAAAAAAAUAAAAUUCCGCAUUCAUGCAAACGCCAUUCACACAUGUCUAGUUAGGAGCAUUUGAUUCAUUCUGAUCAUACCAUCCUAAUCAUUAGGCAUAAUUAGGUUCAUUAUACAGGUCAUGUUCCCCAGAGAACAGAUCAGUGAAUAUUGCGGAUCUUAUCUUCCCCAGGAGUAAGGAAAUAGAUCUAAGCACGAAUCUUAUCUUCCCCAGGAGUAGGGAAGCAGAUCUAAGCGGCGAAUCUUAUCGUCCCCAGGAGUAGGGAAACAAAUUUAAGCCACAAGUCUUAUGUCCCUGACCAACAGCGGAGUAGUUUGGAAAUUACAAGUCUUAUCUCCCUAAGCAGUAGUGGAGCAGACCGAAGAAGCAAAUUUUAUCUCCCUGAGGUUACAGUGGAGCAGAUCGAAAUCGAUAAUCCUAUCUCCCUGAAGUUGUAGUGGAGCGGAUUAAACAACAGAUCUUAUCUCCCUAAGCAGUAGUGGAGCAGAUCGCAUCAAGUUUUAUCUCCCUAAGUAGUAGUGGAGCAGAUGAAAAAAAAACCAAUCCUAUCUCCCUAAAAUUACAGUGGAGCGGAUUAAAACAAUAGAUCUUAUCCCCUUAAGCAGUAGUGGAGCAGAUCGCAUCGGGUCUUAUCUCCCUGAAGUUGCAGCGGAGCAGACUGAGCGAACAAGUCUUAUCUCCCUAAGCAGUAGUGAGCAGACGAAAAAACCAAUCAUAUCUUCCUGAAAUUGCAGUGGAGCGGAUUAAAACAAUAGAUCUUAUCUCCCUAAGCAAUAGUGGAGUAGAUCGCAUCAGGUCUUAUCUCCCUGAAGUUGCAGCGGAGCAGACUGAGAAAACAAGUCUUAUCUCCCUAAGCAGUAGUGGAGCAGACGGAAAAAAAACCAAUCCUAUCUCCCUGAGAUUGCAAUGGAACGGAUUAAAACCACAGAUCUUAUCUCCCUAAGCAAUAGUGGAGCAGAUCGCAACAAGUCUUUUCCCCCUGAAAUCACAGUGGGGCAGACUGAAGAAGCAAAUCUUAUCUCCCUGAGGUUGUAGUGGAGUAGAUUGAAUUCGAUAAUCCUACCUCCCUGAAGUUGUAGUGGAGCGGAUUAAAGUAAUGGAUCUUAUCUUUCUGAAGUUACAGUAGAGUAGAUCGCAUCAGAUUGAAGUCAGAAAUCUUAUCUCCCUGAGAUUACAGCGGAGUAGAUUGAAACUAGUAAUCCUAUCUCCCUUAGUUUACAGUGGAACGGAUUAAAAUAAAGGAUCUUAUCUCUCUGAAGUUACAGUAGAGUAGAUCGCAUCAGGAAUUAUCUCCAUGAGAUCACGGUGGAAUAGACCGAAGAAUUUUAGAUCUUACUUCCUAGAUAAUACAGUGGAACAGAUUAAAGCCACAGCAGCGAAUCUUGCUUCCCUGACAUCACAGUUAUGAGUUACAAAUCUGAUCUCCCCGACGUUGGGGUGGAGUGGAUCAAGGCACCGAUUCCUAUACCUCUAAAGAUGCAGUAGGAUGGAAUGAGGUAACUCGAAGAAGAAGAACACUAGGGUUCAGCACGACCGGGCAAAAUUGGUCCUCUUUAGUCUUUGCUCUAUUCUCGUUACACGACAAUGAGCAAAGAGGGGCAGCUGUAAUAGGCCCAAUUUGCCCGGGCCCGAUAAAUAAAUAAAACCAAUAAAAUCAAAUAAAAAAUAGUCCCAAAACAGUCCAUUUACAAUGACCCAAUACCAACCCAAUAGCCUAAACCUCUACCCAAGCCCGAAUCUAAACCUAAACAGGCCCAAAACCCACUAAACCUAAUGGCCCAAUACCCAGCCUGGCUGAGACAAACCUUAGCCUUCAGCAGCUUUCAGCUCUUGCGCUGCAGCCAAGCCGCUCCUCACGUACGAGCCUCCAUUCAUGCGCCGCGCCGAGCAACGCCAUCGCCAGGGACCACGCCUGUACUGUGCCAUGCGAGCCUCCGUACAUGCGCGCCCGUUCACCUCUGUACCAGUACCUGCAAAUACACACAAGAAGCAGCGAAGCAACAAAAAAAAAGAAAAUAGCAGUAGAAAAUAGGGGAUUUUCAGUUUUUAUUUGAUUUUUCUGGCUAUAAAAGCCAAACACGCAGAUUGUAUCAAAGGGGGGAACUUACGCAUAUUGCAAAAAAUCAAUAUAAAAAAAAAGGUUUUCUCUUCCUUCUGGUCUCUUUUCUUCUCCAAUUGUUUCUUUUCUUUUUCGUUUGUUAUUAGCCUUAUAUAAGCAUAGAUAUAUAUAGAGUAAAUAAUAACAAAAAGGGGGGGUUAAAACGUACCUGGUGAUGCCUUUGAAUCCACGCGAAGAAGCCAAAAAGCCUUGAAUGGUGAGGCUCCGACCACUAUUCGCAGUGGAAUCAAGGCGGAGGGGCGGACUGACGGCACUGAAGACUAGGGUGAAACCCUAGCAGAGGAAACAAUAAGCAAUUUUUUUUAAAAACGAGUCUGCUAAUGUUUUUUUAGGGUAAAUUUUGUUUAAAUAAUGAUACAAUACGGAGCCGUUUUGGGCUAGGGUUCCUAGCGCCCAAACGACAUCGUUUAGAGGCCUUACCCAAUGACCCGAUCCAGAUGGCGGCUAGAUCCGCGUGUUUGGUAGGAGGAGGGGAAAUUUCGCGAAGAGUCCCUCUUGUUUUGUGCCGUUUCGGUUUGAUUUUCUUCAUUGUUUUUAAUUUGAAUCGCGUAUUUUAUUUUGUUUUCAAUUUGAUCCAUAGUUAAACGGCACCGUUUUCACUAAUCGGAUUUGAGCAUCCGAACAUUUGUGUUUAUUUUCUGUUUUAGUCCUCUCUGUUAUUUUUUAUUAUGAUUUUUACCCUCCUAUUUUAUUUUCACCCUAAUUUAGUCCCGAAACUGUUAGAUUUCACUUUAUUUAUGCAAUGUAUAUAUUUAUUUAUUUUAAACUUUAUAUUAUUUAUUUUAAAUCGUUCUAUUACUAUUUAUUUUAAGCCUUUUUUACAUAUUAUAUGUUUUAAAUUAUGUUAAUCAAUUAUUCAUUUUAAAUAUAUAUUAUUUAUGUUAAACUACAAAUGUAUAUUAUUUAUUUGGAAUUGUUCUUAUGCACAUCAUGCAUUAUCAUUUUUAAAAAAAUAAUAAUAAUAGAAUUUGUUUGCAUAUUGUUCAUUUAGGAUUCCUUCUCACACAUUACUUAUUUUAAACGUUUUACAUAUUAUUUUAAAUUGUUUUAUAUGUUUUUUUUUAAAUGCUUUGAAGAUUAUUCAUUUUAACUUGUUUUACACAUUAUUUUAAUAUGUAUGGAAUUGCUUUAAUAUAUAUAUACGUGAAUAAAACGUAUUGUAACUGGUAAUUUCUAAAAUUUUAUUCUACGUUUUAAAAUUUUUAUCAUUUCGAUUAUGUUGAUUGGUUUACUUGGGAUUAAAUUAUUAUUGCAUUGAUUAUUCUUUUUUUUUGAUUUUUUUGUUAGAUUGAUUAUUAGUUUAUUUGAUUAUCAAUGUUGAUGUAUUAUAUGUUUGGUUGCUCCAAAUUGUAAAUUUAGCUUGCUAUUCACCAUUUGAUUAGUAUAUUGAUAUUUUAUUAUAUUGUUUGUAAAAAUUGCAUUUCAUUAAAGCAUUACAAUUGUUUUAUUUCAAAAUUCUCAAAAAGCUUGGUAUUUAAAAAUUCUCGAGAGGAUUGUGCCCUAACUUACUGGGCUUCAAUCCUCCCUUUUUGAUUCUAAAUAACCGAAUACCUUUUUUUAAUUUGAACAUAGAAGUUUCAAAAUAAAAGCUCAUUCUCGGGAAUUUGACACGUUGUGUCCUAACGCAUUGAAUAUGACUAUUAUUUUCUCGAGAUGAGGAUUUUAAGGCAAUGUUCGAUAUUUAGGAAUUUUGUGAAAUCGAACCCUAACUUACUGGGUUUUGAUUUUCUCAUUUGACCCAGAUAAUCGGACAUCCUCCUCAAAAUGCAUAGGUUUUAAAAGACGAGAGAUAAACUUAACUUGGAGGACUUAAAAUGUUGCACUCUAACUUACUAAGUGUGACGAUUUAUUUCUUUGAAAUAAGUGAGUCUCGUCGUCCAAUUCAUUUUAUUCAAAAUAAAAGGAUCAAAUUUUAAAAUCUUUUCAAAAUUUUGACAUUAAGACAUUAAACAUUCCAAUCGGUACCAAUUUUGGGCGUCACGAGGGUGCUAACCCUUCCUCGUGCGUAACCAACUCCCGAACCCGUUUUCUCAAAAAUUCGCAGACCUAAAAUUAUUUUCAAGGUGAUCCGCACACCACAAUAAAAGAUCGGUGGCGACUCCAUUUCCAUUUUCAAAAUUGAUCCCCAUUUUUCAAAUUACAAAAAAAUGGCUUCGACACAUAUAACUUCUCUUUAAUAAUUCACUAUUCUUUGAACAUUCAUUAGUUUUUGAAACAUAAAAUUUAUAAAUAAUUAUUUUUAGGGUAAACUACACCCAUGGUCACUUUUGUUUACCUUAGGUUACAUUUCAGUCACUUAUGUUUGAAAUGUUACGUUUUAGUCACUUAAGUUAUUGUGUUGUAACAUUUUAGUCACUGAGCCGUUAGUUGUCGUUAAUGGCUGACGUGGCACGUUAAAUUAUCAUUUCAAACAAAAACUUUAGGUUAAAUUAUACAAUUGGUUUCCAUAAUUUUUCGUUUUGAGCAAUUUAAUUCUUUUAUGCUCUUUAACUUUCUUUCUUUUUUUUUUUCUUUAUUUUCCAUUCUCUUCUGCUUCUCCCUGUUUUCCUACAUUCUUUAUUUCUUUUAACAUAUCAGGAAGUCGAAUUGGUAGUGAAGAAAGAAGCAUGGUAUGGGUUUAUGGGUUUUGGUUAUGGGCAAAUGAUGACAGUCGACUUCCUACUUCUUUUUUCACUGUCAAUUCGACUUCCUAAUAUGUUAAAAGAAAUGGGAAAAGUAUGAAAACAGAGAGAGAAACAAAAGAGAAUGGAAAAAAAGAGGAAAGUUUAAAGAACAUAAAAGAAAAAAAUUAAAUUACUUAAAACGAAAAAAAUAUGGGGAUCAAUUGUAUAAUUUAACCUAAAAUUUUGUUUGAAAUGAUGAUUUAACGUGCCACGUCAGCUUACCGUUACACCAUUAACGACGAUUAAUCGCUCAGUGACUAAAAUUUUACAACAUGAUAACAUAAAUGACUAAAACGUAACAUUUUAAACAUAAGUGACUAAAACGUAACCUAAGGUAAAUAAAAGUGACCAUGGGUGUAGUUUACCCUUAUUUUUAAUAUGACUUGAUUUUUACUUGAAUCAUUUUUGUAAUUAGUUAAUUAAAUUGGGUUAUUUUAAAAAAAAUCCUCUUAACUAAUAGCCAAAAAAAAGCCAUCAUGUAGAAAAUUCUGGUUUGUUGGAAAAAUAAAGACUUGACCUAUUACUCUAGAUUUUGAAAUGUUCAACUUGAUAUUGACAUAUGAUAAUAUGUACAAAUUUCUCAUUCUUUUAAAUUUUAGUGAUAUUACAUGUAUGAUAAUAUGUUUGCCACACCAAAUUUGAAAAUAGUAGAACUUAAUGAAUUUAACAGAUAUCUAAAAUAUCAAAUUAAAGUCUAGGAAUUAAAUCUACAACAUCAGUAAAGUACAAUAACUAUGGUAGAAUUAAACCUUUAUAUAAUAAUUUCCUUCUAUGAACCACAAUUCAAGUGCACCCGACAAGCUAAUUAAUAAAAAUUUAGUGGUAGAAUAUGUAUAUUCUUGUGGGUGGAAAUUUAGUGGAGAUGCCCAUCAUCUUUCCUAAUUAAUAAAAAUGAAGACUUAGAAAAUGUGCAAUCAUAAUCCUAGUUGUCGUUAUGGCCCCAAGAAUAGGUAUAUUAAUUUGUCUCUCUUCAGGAUCAAAGAUAAAUAAUAAAUUUUAUAAAGUUAAAACCAUAAUUCUAUAAUUAUAUUAAUAUAUAAUUUCAUAAAAUUUUAAAAAAUGUAUCUUUCAACUUUUUUAAGUAAAUUGAUAAUUCGUUAACUCAUAAUAUAUAUUUUUUUCAAAAUAUUUAUGAGAACGAGUUCGUAUUCUAUUGUGUGGAAAAUUUUAGUACAGAUAUUGGUGAAGCCAAAUCCAACUUGUUUGACCAAGAAAGUCUCUGUCGUGUGGAAAAUUUUAGUUUUGUGGAAAAUGGACAUUACCAUUUCCUUGAAUGACCAUCAAUUUCUCCAUUGAGAUAUAGUAAGAGGGAGUGAAAUAUAUAUAAGGUAAUAUUUAAUGUAUUCACACCAAAUUUCAUUAAUGAGUAAAACAAAUAAUGAAUAAUAAUGAAAAUUGGAGGAAAUUGUUAAGAAAAUAUCAUUACAUAUAUCAACACUCACAUAAUUCAUUGUAUUAACUUUCAAAUGUUGACUAUUGACUUCUACAUCAACCUUGAGCUUAUAUAGGCCCCCCUCACGGAAAUAAUCUCACAAUUAAUGCCUAGAGGUGCUUAUGGGCCGGGCCGGGCCCAGAAAAAAUUUUGGCCCGGGCCCGGCUCGGCCCGAAAUAUGGGCCUGAACUUUUGCCCAAGCCCGGCCCGGUAAAAAAUUCAUAAGCCCGAGCCCAGCCCUUUUUUUAAAAAAAUACCAAAAAUUUAUUUUAAAAUUAAAAAAAUUUAAAAAAAAGUAUUUUAAAAAUAUUUUAAAUAAAUACCAAAAAUUCACCCUGCAUCUAAAAGGAGGUCCAGCACUCGAAUCCCAUUCCCCAUAACUAAAAACUAUGUCACUGUGACUUGGUCAUAUCUCCGCUCAAAGUCGGACAUGGGUAGUUAAAGAAAAAUGAAGAGUCGAUGCAUGAUAGACUAAGGACUAGCUCAAAAGUGCUUUUAGAAAAAAUUGCUCUUGAAAAGAGGUGUGGAAAAGUGUGCUUGUUAGUUUUUAGUGUUGUUCAUUGCUGCCAAAAAUCGCAAUUGAAAGUUAAAAUGUUCUUUUUAGACAUGAUAGUAGAAAGUAAAAAAUUAGUCAAGUCAUAUGAUUUUUAAAUAAUUUAAUAUAAUGAUACAUGAAAUAUAACUUUUAAAUACCUUUUAAGUAAUUAAUAUAAAUUAGUUGUAAAAUUGAUAAUAUAUAAAAUAUUUUGAAAAAAAUAAAUAUAAUAAUAAAUAAGAUUUAAACAAUUUAAUAUAAUAAUAUAUAAAAUAUAAAUUAAUCUAAUUUUUAUAUACCUUUUAAAUAGUUAAUGAAAAUAAUAGUAUUUUGAUAAUUUUCCCUUUGAAAUGCAAAAGCCAAAAACAGUUUUUGACUACAAAAGCUAUGUGUUGUUCAUCACUUCUGCAGUGGAAAAACACUUCUCCAUGGUGUAAAAACACUUUUACCCAAAAAGGCUUUUUCACCACAGUAGAGAAUGCACCCUAAAAUUGUAAAUAGAAAAAGGAAGAACCAAACAUUGUUUCUACCCUGUUUUUGUCUCCUCUUUGAAAAUACUUUCCAAAAGUUUUAUCAUUUUUUUUUCUGUUUACGAUGCCUUAAAUGCAAAUUCCUUAUAGAAGUGCUUUCUUUUGAUCCACUUGCAUCAUUGUAAUAAGUUUGCAUUGCCUUCUUUCUAUGUUGAUUAUCGUUUAUUAAGUUUUCUGUUGGAUCUUAUAGUCAAAUUCCUUUACAUCAUGUAUGUUAAUUUGCUUAGCCCUGAUAAAUGUUAGAUAUAGGGUUAUCAGCUAAUUAGGAAAGACUGUAAUGAUAGUCACACCUUACAUCCAAAUUUUUACAUUGAGGUUCCUUAUUAUUUUUUCUUGUUUCACCAAUUGCAUCCUAUUUACAGUUCCUUAGCGUUAUCCACUGUGCUAGGGUGGUUCUUGUUCAUAUAUUAAUCACCAUGCGCCUUCAGCAAAUGCAAAGCCAGCCAGCAUCUUCUGAUUUGUCAUUGGAUACUACACUUUCAGCAAAUGUAAAGCCGCCAGAAUUUCAGCUGUUUUUAGAAGGUCAAGACACAACAAGAGCAACAUAUGUUGUAUUCUUGUCAAACAAGAUAAGUUUUCGCAUAUUAACGAUUCUUUUUCCAAGAUGAAUUAUUCUCCUGUUGCAUUUUUAUUUGGGUUCAAAUGUUCUGUGAAGUUAGCUUGCCAGUGCUUGUUUGUUCAUCAGCAUUUACAGCUCAUUUGUCAUUGGUCAGCAGAAUUUCCGCUGUUUUUAGAAGGUCAAGACACAACAAGAUCAGCAUAUGUUGUAUCUAACAUUUAUAUUCAACAACUGGAAACCAUGUCAUAAAUACAUAUGAGAAAUAUUUAAAAAUCCUUGGUUGAAUACUCGUGCACUAACAUUUUUUAAAAGUUAAUUUUGUGUUUCUUUUUUCAUCUCUUUUAUUAUAAAAUUUCCUGAUUUACUUGAUAUCACCACUUAAUUUAGCAUUAAAAAAAUGAAAUAUUUUUAUAAAAACUAUUUAUUUCUACUAAACCACUACUUUAAAACUAUCCAUUAUCAUACAACUUCUCUUUAAUAAUUCACUAUUCUUUCAACAUUCAUUAGUUUUUCAAACAUAAAAUUUAUAAAUAAUUAUUUUUACCUACAUUUUGAAUGAUGCAAUUUCUAGCUAUACACUAAAAUACUCCAUUUAUCAAUUUAAUUUAAUUCAAAGAAUUAUGAUAAUAAUUGAAAUUUCAAAAAAGAAAAACAACUAAAUAAUUGAAUAUUUAUAUACAAAAAUAAAACAAACAAGACAGACUUAAGCUUUCUUACCCCAAAGACAAGAUCUUUAUUCAAAAUGCAAAACUAGCAAAAUACUCCCUAAAAUUCAUCUAAACACAUCUUCUAAAGAUGUAAUACCCAAGAAGAUUGCCCACAGUUGAGUAACGGCAACUGCUGAUGCACUUCCCGACGAAAGAAAACCAAACUCCUCGCCAAUGUGGAUUUAUGUAAAGGAUAACAACAAUUGUUAACAACAUAACUACAUAAGAAGCCAAAAAGCUCACACAAAAAACAUAUGUGUCUAGAAAACUAUCUUCUCUUUCAUCAUCUGAUAUUGUUGAUGUUGAACCGGUUUUGGAGCAACUUAUAUGAAGCAUAGGUCCACAGAGAAAAGGGUUCCCCUCGUAACUGCUUUCAAUGAAAGUCCCAAAUUGGUUUUGUUCUGGAAUACUACCUGACAAGUUGUUGUGUGCAACACUGAAAACCCCCAGAGAGUUCAACUCUACCAGCUGGUUUGGGAUUUCACCACUCAAGUUGUUGUAAGAAAGAUCCAAACUCUCAAUCUGCUUAAGUUUUGAGAAUGAUGAGGGUAUAACUCCGACCAACUUAUUGUGUGACAAGUUCAAAGAAUGGAUUUCAUGCAAGUUCCCUAAUUCAAGUGGGAUUUGACCGGUUAACUCAUUGCAAGAUAAAUCAAUCCCAGACAUGUACUCAAGGAUGUCGCCUCCAUAUGAGUAGGAUCCACUCUUUGUGGUAAACUCUACCGAUUCUUUCAUGUAGCUAUAGGAAUGCAUCAUGUGCUCGAAAAGUAUACCCGUCUUUAAUAGUUUCAAUUCAUCCAGUUCUGAAAAUGUUGGCGACAUUAAAUCUGGUGUCAUGGUCUUAUCCUUAUUCAUUGGAAGAGUUAAAUUUCCCAAACAAGAAGGUAUAGGACCGGAAAACCUAUUUUGAGAAAGAUCUAUAAUGCUCAAGGAAUACAAGGUGCAUAACUGGACUGGAAUUCUUCCCUGUAAAUGAUUAGCUUUCAAGAGAAGGACACUCAAAGAAGAAAGUGUGUCGAUCCAUUUUGGAAUACCACCAGUAAAAUUGUUUCCUCUAAGAUCUAAUGUCACUAGUGAAGUGCUUUUAUUAAAAGCAAGUGACAAUGGACCACCCAGUCUAUUAUUGUGCAGGUGGACAUACUCUAGGUUUGGAGGAUUAAAACAAGAUGGUAUAGAGCCAGAUAAAUUAUUUUCAGAAAGAUCCAAAAAUUUGAAGUUAUUCAAGUUGCAAAAUUCCACUGGAAUAGAACCCUCGACACCAUUGUUAGACAAGUCUAAUCUCUCCAAAAGUGACAUAUUCCCUAUCCAUCUUGGAAGCUUUCCAUGCAAUCUGUUGUUACUGAGAUCAAUAUCUGUUAGUGAUGUUGGAAACUGAAAAGUAGAGACAUCAAAAUUUGUCAUCUCUCCAGAAAAAUUAUUUCCAUCCAAAUAUAAUUUUUGUAACCCAUUUGCAUUGAGAAUCACAGGAACUACAUUUCCAUUGAGGUUGUUGUUUGACAGUCUCAAAAGAAAUAGUGAGCUUUUCCUGACCAACUCUUGAGGUACUUUUCCAGCCAAUUGAUUGUUUGAUAGAUCUAACAUUGACAAAUUCUUCAUGGCGCUUAAACAAGGAGGGAUAUUGCCUUGAAAGGCAUUCUUGGAUAAGAAUAACUGCUCCAAAUGUGGAAAAGUUGAACAUAUAUUGGUUGGAAGCGGACCUUGUAUUUUGUUGUCAGACAUGUCGAUUGAAGAUACAUUUGAAUUAGGAGUCGACAGUAAUGUGAGAGGACCUGUAAAAGAAUUACCCUUCAAGAUGAGAUCUUCUAACUUUGUGUUGUUUUCUAACAACCAAAAUGGGACAGUUCCACUGAAUUUGUUCUGAGAAAGAUCCACAAAUCUCAAGUCAUUUUGGUAGUAAAGGAAGGUAGGAAGUUCAAGACUGAGUUGUUGAGAUGUUCUGCACUUGGACAAACUAAUGAAUUUCAAUUGGAAUUUCGGGACUAAGGUGUGGAAGGAAGGUUCCAUUUCCAACUUGUUUUCAUCAGCCAAGAGGACCUCAAGGUUUGGAAAGUUUGCAAGUGGUACGAAUGAAAUUGGAAUUUGAAAAUGAUUACUUGAAAGAGAAAUGGCUCUGAGUGAUGUAAGACUUGCUAAAGGAGUUAGAUUUCCGGAAAAUCGAUUGUUGGAGAUAUCUAACUCACGAAGAGAUGUCAAGUUACUGAAACAAUGAGGAAGCAUCCCCUCAAGUGCAUUCCAACUCACAUCCAACACUUCAAGGUUCCUUAGAUCACACCAUCCUGAAAAAUUUAUGAAAUCAUGGAAGAAUUUCUAAUUAAAUUUGGUUUUCUAAAACAGAAUAGGAGAAAUCAGAUAAAGAAAAGGUCGUAUAGAAAAUUUUACCGUGAUCAGGUAAGGAACCAAUAAGUGCACACCUAUAUAGAGACAAAGUUUGAAGAGAAGUGAAUACUCCAAUGCUUUGCAAAAUGUUGAUGUUGAGACGAGAAUAAUCGAGAUUUAUUUCCUCCAAGUUGCUUAAUUCUAAUCAAUGAAAAGAGGUAGUAGGUGUUAAUGAAACGUAAGUUGUUUUGGAAUAGAAGAAGUAUUAGAUGUUAAUCAAGAAAAGGUGUUUACCUGAUGAGAAAGCCUCUACUAAGUUUUCUAGCGGAAUGCUAUCGUCGGUGACAAUACUUUGGAGACGAAGAACUUUUAACUUUUUCAAUCCCUUGUUUUCUGUGAGCCAAAAUAUUUUGAUAAAAAUUGUGAAAACUUCAACAUGAUUGCACUAAUUGUUUUUCUUUUCUUUCUAGCAUUUUAAGAUAAAUAAUGUGUAAAAUAGAAUUUUCCUUUAUUGAGAUCAUUAUAUUACUUUAAAUUUAUCACCACUAAAUAGAAAAUUAUUAUUAAAUCAAAGUUUUAAAUUUAUUAUUACUUAAAUGUUGUUUAUGCUGGGUGAUUUUGAUGAGAAUAAUUUAUUAUAUAAAAAUAAAAGUAUAUUUCUUAAAGUAAAAUAAGAGAAAUAUUUUAAAUUUUUUUGAAAGUGUUUAUAUACAUAUUACACUUAAUCACUCUUUUGAAAAUUCUAAUUACUCUUUUAAAUUUUAUGUUAAUUUUAAAAAGUAUAUAUAAUUUCAACAGAAAUAUUACUUUAAUAUUAAAAUGAAGAGCUUUUGUGGGUAAAAAAAAUUAUAUGAGUUUAUUUAAUUACAAAAAUAAUUUAAGAAUUUAUUUAAAAAAUAUGUAGUAGUUUUAGGCUCGAUCCUAGGGGUUAUUUGAGAGUGCGGUCGCCCAGGGCUGGAAGGGGCCCAAUUUUUUUUUCAGAUUUUAAUAUGGGAAAAUAUUCAGACUAAAAUAAAUAAAUAAAUUGCCUAGAGCUUUCAAAUUUUCACCAUAAAUACUUCAUCUCUUAUGGCUAAAAAAUUUUCAGCUUUUAUUGUAUUACAUUUUAUAAUAUUUUUAAAAAGACUCGUUUAAAGACUUUUUUAAGUAUAUUAACCUAUUUUAAAAUUCCACAUUUUUAAAAUGUCUUAAUUUUCAAAUUAAAGUACAAACACACUAUAAUCCACAAGCCUUAAUUGCCAUGUCAACAUAAACCACCAUUUAGAAGAUUGUUUUCAUUUUUUAAAAAAUAAAAAAAAAUUAUUUAAAUGAUACCUUUGUGGACCACAAAGCCUCUCAAUUGAUUCCCACUCAUAUCUAGUUUCUGUAAGUUAGUAAAUGCAUCCAAAUCUGGGAAAGAAACAGAUAAGCUUCAUUAAAUCAUUCCAAAACAUGAUUAAUAUUUUUGUCUAUAGAGGCAUAAUUUGUCAAAAAAUAAUAAUUUUACCUUUCAUAUCUAUUAAUCCAUUCAAUUGAUUGAAACCUAUGCUCAAAGAUUUCAGAUUUGAAAGCUUGUUUAGAGUUGCAAAUACACUGUUAUUGAAGAGAUUUGCUUCUAAAUUAAGCUCUUCUAAAUGGGUUAACUCCAAUUUCUUACCUUCAUCUACAAAAGAUUUAACGUAAUUUCAUCAAUGAAAAAAAUGAUAUAAAUUUAAUUAUGUGUAAUAAAUUAUUUAACUGAACCCUAAAUUGUGGGUUAAUGGUUCAAGUGUUCGAAUUAUCAUUGUGUAAAAAAAACAAACUUAAUUAACGGACCAAAAUAUAAAUACAUACCUUUGAAGGAUUGAAAGUUUACCAUUUGAUUCCACCUUAAAUCCAACGUCUUCAAAAUUUUCAAAUUAUUCAAUCCUAUAUAUACUCAAGUUGAACAAAUAUUUUAAUAAAUUGGCUGAAGUGAAAAGGGUAAAAGUAAGGAAGUUGAAAAAUCCCCAAAAGUGAAAGUACUAAUUUGAAACAAAUAAUUAUAAAGGGUCCUACAUAAGUAAGGACUUUAUGCUUGAAAGCCUUCAAGGAAGGAAAAUGUGUGGUUUCCAUGGGAUCUAAUUAUAAUCCUUGUUUGCUGGAUUCCAACUUUUUUAUUUGGCCAACAAAAAAUAAAUAAAUAAUAUAAAAAAAUUGUGAUUACUAAGGCUUCAACCUUGAAGUUUAAAUAGAAUUAUUCAAUCCCAAAAAUUGACCAAAAAUUUCCCUCAAACAAAACUUAACUUUAAAGUAGAAACAAAACCAGAGAAAGGCAAUCUACCUUGAAUAUGAGGCCACUUUCCUUCUAAUAGGUUGUAAGCUAGAUUUAAAUAUUGGAGAGAUGAAAAUUGGCUCAAAGAUAAUAUAAAGCUAUCAUUCAGAUGAUUUUGACUUAAGUCAAGGAACUGCAGAUUUCUGAAUGUGGAUGAUAGCUUUUCAAAACCUGCAGAGUUAAUAAUAACAAGUAAUCGCAAAAUUAACAGUAAGUUGUGUUGAAAAUAUGUGUACAUAAUAGAGUAACUAAAGAUGAAAUGAAGGGCAAAUCAAAUAUAGAACCUUCAUUUUCAACACAACCGGCUAUGCCACUCCCUGUCAAAUAAAGCCUCUUUAAUUCCUUGAAGGGAAGAAACAAAGAGGCAUUCAGAUACCAAUAAUCCAAGUAUCCGGACCUCAUAGAAUCAAGAGAGAGUCCAAUGAGUCUCCCAGUGGUGGUGUUGCACUCAAUCCCUUUCCAUUUACAACAAUCUGAACCUUUAACCUCGUCCCAGCUGUCGAACUCAUUAUAGUGAUUGAAGAAAGGUUUGAGUUGCAAGAGAGCAACUCUCUCAUGCUCCACACAAGCAUCAAUAGUGCACCACCUGCAUCCUUCUAACAGUAGCAGCACACUCAUCACUGCCAUCCUCAUAAACCACAACCAUUUGGAGUCCAUCAUCUCUCUGUUUUUGCUUCUCUCUCAAUUGUAUGCUACUUCAAACUUCUAUUGCAUAAGCCUUCAUGAAACUUGUUAUUUAAAGACAAGGACCUAAGGCUGAAGGCAACCCACUAGUCCACGCUGAAAUAGUCCACUGAAUGUGACGAUAUAUAGGCCCUACAAAGUGUGGUUGUGGAAAUAAUCUAAACACCUAUCCUCCAAAUUAAUACUAUUCCUUGAGAAAUUAUUAAAGGUCAAUUUCUGGUUUUAGUCCCUACGCUAAAUUCAUUUUGAAGGUUUAGUUUUUAUAUAAUUUAAGAUCAAAUUUUUAUAAUUAAAUUAUCAUUUACGUCUGCUUUAAAAUUAUGAAAAAAAUAUUUUAAAAAUAUAACGAACUCCAGCUACAGCUUCAAAAUAUGAUGAAGAUGUUUUAGUAGAAUAAAUCGCAGAAUCCGCCAUCUUUGACUUUUGUUUUCUUAUUGUGAGAAUAUCUUAACAUUAUAACUUUUGAAUAUAUUUUGUUAUUUCAGUUAUUAAUUUAGAUCAUAUACAAAUUUCUUUCGUGAUAGUCUCAUUUAGAUUUGAAGUUUGUUGUUGGAUUUGAAGUUACAGGAAAAUAUGUUGAAAAUUUGGGUUUAAUAUUAAAUAAAAUGGGUUGGUAAAAUCUAUUAAUGUUAGUGGCGUUUUCCCACAAAUGCCACUAUAGAACAUGAUCUUUAGCUGCGCUUUUACUACAAACAUUGCUAAAAAACAUGAUUUUUUGUGGUACUUCUAGCUAUAAAUGCCACAACAUGCUUGACUCUUUUAUAGUGUUUUUCCAAAUGAACGCCGCAAAUUUUAGCGGCGCUAUCUAAAGCGACUUUUUACUGGCACUUAUCAAAGCGCCGCAAUCUGUUUUAGCGGCACUUAUAAGCACCGCCAUAGGGCCAAAAAAACACCGCUAAAAACCUAUUUUGCUGUAGUGAUUUACGCAUUUAUAAGCCUACAAAAUAAUCACGGAUUCAAUUUUAGAGUCCGUUAUCAGCCCCUAAUCGGGACAUCAAAUUGACCAAAAAGGGCCCACAUGACCUACCUGUUCAACUUGCGUAAUUGCACACGCCUAAGUGCUCCACACGGCCUGGCACACGGCCAACUACACAUCAAUGUGGUGCACAUGAACUUGUGACGCAGAGUAGCUUUGAAAAUUGUAACCUCCCAAACCCGGCCUAGAUGUUAUGACUAGAUUGAGAAGGCUACAAUAGCCACCGAAAUGGCUAAGCUAACUUACGUUACUUUUGAAGACCUUAAAUAAACUCAUUUUAGAGAAAACCGUAGUUGUACUUUGAGUUAGCUUAAAAGCAUUCAUUCAUUAGGUCGUGUAUACUUAGGAUUCAUUUUAUUGUUGAUAGUGUUGUUUUACAAAAAUAGUUUGCUUAUCGCUCUUCUUUUAAAAAAAACUCGAUGGUAAACUAAUGUGCGGAAAAACCAUUUUUCAAGUCAUUUUGGAAACUUAGUUGCCUUAACGAUUUGUUUUUCAGAAACAAUUCCUUUUUAAUGCAGCGGAAACUAGGGAACAAUAUCAAAUUUUACUUAAGCUCGAUAUCAUGCAUUAUUCAGUUAUUAUGCUUGAGUAAUCCAUGCAUGCAAAAAUCCCAAAAGAAAAGUUACUAAGCCACAAACCACAAGUCAUUAAAAAUUACAAACCAAAACUAAUAGAAUCUGAUUAAUACUUUUUAAAAAUAGUCCGAGGUCCAAGGUGAUUCUUCGAAUGCCAAGUCCGAUCCUAAUUUUGAGGUUUACACAUUCAUUUGACAUACUCAGCACGUCCUCAAUAAUCACAUACUUUUAGUAAAUGAAAACAAUGUUCCAAACUUUCAAAUUACCAUUGUGUUGGUAUUAAUCAAUAUCGUUCAAUUUCGCAUACUUUAUGAAUUUUGAUUAUGCAUAAAUAGCACCCUAUACAACAUAUAUGUAUAUAAUAUAUGCCAAGAAAAUUUAGAAAUACAAUAAAUCAACCUAAAUGAAAUCAUUCAUCAUCAUUUUUCAAGAUUUUAAAUUAUAUUUUCUCAUUCCCAUUGUCAGUGUAUUUCAACUUGUAAACAAAGAUGAUGGCUACUAUAAAUGGAAUCAUUGAUAUAUCAUGAUAUUUGAAUUUGACAACUAUUUUUAUACAUUUUAUUACCAAAAGUAAGGGUAUUAAUUUUUUAAUGUUUAAUUGUGGUUUAGAGUUAAUUUAUUUAAAGUUAAUUGUUAAUAUUAUUAAAUUCAAAUUUUCGUAAUUGUAUUAAUAAAAUAAAUUUAGUGUUAAAAGUGAGUUUAUUCAAUUUUAUAUUUAAUUUGUUAAAUGUAAUCUAAUGAUUUUUUUGUGCUCUAGUGUUGAUUUAAUUAAAGUUAAUUAUUAAUAUUAUUAGGUAACUAUGAGUUCUCAUCAAAUUAAUCCUAAAAUUCAAAUUAAAUGCUAAAAAAUUAACAUUAUUACUUUUAAAUAUCAAAAUGUAUAAAUUUUAUUAAAUAUAGAUACUAAAUCAAACAAAAAUUAUAAAUUUUGAGUCGUUGCAAAUUUUUCCAACAUUUUUGGGGUCUUGAAUUUGAUAUGCAAAAAGUUGGUGGGAAUUUUAAGUCAGCAAAUCCUUUAAAAGGGCAAUGACAUAAUUAAUUGCAUUACUUUAAUGGUUGAAUUUUCAUAGCUAAUAUGUAUGCAAAAAGUUGGUGUGAAUUUUAAGUCAGCAAAUCCUUUAAAAGGACAAUGACAUAAUUAAUUGCAUUACUUUUCAAAGAUCGACUACUGACUUUGGUGAACUUAUUUAUAGAAGGUUAAAUUCUGCUGUUGGUCACUGUACUUUACGAAAGUUGUGAAUUUAGUCUCUAAACUUAAAUUUGAUCAAUUUUAGUCUCUAUACCUUUUGAAUUUUGAAAUUUUAGUUCUAACCCAAACAGUAGCAGUUAUCAAUUUGAUUAAAUUCUAUUACUAUCGAUUUAGUCCAAACUUUCUGAAUUUUGAAAUUUUAGUCUUGAUGCAAAUGACAAUCACUGGUCUAUUAAUUGGAUUUUUAGUAAAUAAUAUGUGAAAAUAACAAGUUUGUUGACACCAUUUUUUUGAUAAAAAUGGGGUCGACUUAGAUUUUGAAAAUAAAAACGAAAAUGGGAGUCGCCACCGAUCCUUUUUGAUAAGGUGUGAUCGGGUCACCUCAAAAAGUGAUUGUUUUUAAUAAGCGAUUUGAUUUUAUUAAAACAACGAUUUUAGUCCACGAAAUUUAAAAAAAUGGGUUCGGGAGUCGGUUACGUUCAAGGAAGGAUUAGCACCCUCGUAACGCCCAAAAUUGGUACCUAGUUGAUUAAUUAAUAUCUUAAUGUCGAGAAUUGAAAACUCGAAAAGAAUUUAAAAUACGAUCAUUCCUUUUUAUUAAUGUUAAAUUUAUAAAUGAUGCUUGGAUAAAUCGAGGUGGAUGCUAAAGACCUUCUUGUCUCAGAGUAAAUAAAAUGUCAAUCCAGUACGUUAGGACACAACAUUUUAAAUCCUCGAGAACAAGCUUAUCUUUUUAUUUUCAAAACUCGUGCAUUUAAAUUUCAAAAGGAUAUUCGAUUAUUUGGAUCAAAGGAGAAAAAUCGAAACCCAGUGAGUUAGGGCACGAUCAUUCAAAUUUCCCAAAUACAGAAUAUCACUUUUAUUAUUUUUUUAGGAAAAUCCUCAUCUCGGGAAAACAACAUGUCAUAUCCAAUGCGUUAGGACACAACGUAUUGAAUUUCCGACAAUAAGCUUUUUAUUUAUGCAUUUUUGGUUAAAGAGAAUUCUCGAUUAUUUAGAUUCAACGAAGAAAAUUAGAACCCAAUACGUUAGGGCUCAAUCUUCUCGAAGAUCCAAAAUACCGAGUAUUACCCUUAUUUUCAAAAUUUUCUCUUUAUUACGAAUUUGAGUAAAAAUUGUAAAUGACAGAAUAACAAUUAUGAUAAUGUAAAUAAAUAAAUAAAUGAAUAGAAUGAAAAAAAGUAAAAAAGACAUAUAUGUAUGUGCAUAUAUAUAUAUAAAUUAUAAAAAAUAUAUAUGAUAUUAUAAAAAUGUAUGCAUGUAUAUAUAUUAAAAGUAUAUGUAUAUGUGUAUUUCGAAAGUAUAAAGUAUAUAAGAUAUAUAUAUGUAUAUGUUUAUAAAUUAUAAAAUAUAAAACAUAUAAGUACGUAUAUAUAUAUAAAUGAAUCAUGAAAUGCACGUGUAUAUAUGUAUAUAUUAGAAAAUGUAUGAAUAUAUAACAAAAUUUGGAAUUAAGGAUGUAAAUGAGUGAAUAAUAAUAACAAUGAAUUAAAAUACAAAAUCAAUGAUGCCAUACAAUAGUAUUAAUAAUAUCAAAAUAAUUAAUUUAAUGAUAAAAUAACUAAAACAACAAAUAGAGGAUUAAAUUAGAAACUAAACUAAAAUUUGGGGUCAAAUAAAAAUAACUUAAAGAGGGUGACUCGGGACUAAAACAAAAUGCGCUGAAGGAGCAAGGGACUUCCAGGGAAAUAUUCCCUAGUCCUGAAACGCAGCACUUCAGCAAGGAUUAAAAUGAAAUCAGAAAAAAAUUUAUGGGCCAAAAUGAAAGAAACAAAAGGGACAAAUUGCACUGAACUAUAAAAGAGGAGGGGCUGAACGCGCAAAUAGCCCCUCCAGGCAUAACACGCGGAUCCUGACCGCAUUCGGGUCGGGUCUCGGAUCGGCUCCUGGUUUUAUGCCAAACGGUGCUGUUUUGGCCAUGGAUGCUAAGGUCCAAAACGACGCCGUUUUUAAACUAUAUAAACACUCAAAAAAUCAACAAAAAAAAAAUUCAUCCCUUAUUUUUUUCAAAAAAACUGAGAGUCUCCCUAACUCUCUCUCAACCCCCAUCCCUCAUAUUCGGCCGACGACCUUCUUAGGCCUCCGUCGCGCCACCUCGUAGCCGGAGGUCGGCGCCGGAAAUGAAAGGCCAUUAAACCCCUUUUGUGGAGUCCUUGAGAGCCAGGCUCUCUCAACCCGCGAGGAGUGAAACAAAAGGGGAACCCUCGACCUUGGCAGACCCGACUCAACGAUGGAGGAGAGAGCCUCUGGCGGCACAGUCACGGCCAACUCCAGUGAGUCACCCUUCCCUUUUUGUCCUUUCUUUUAGUACUAGUUUUAAAAUCAGAUUUUUUAAAAAAAUGAUAAAUAAAAUAAGUAAAUAAUUCAAAAAAAAGAAUCGGAGAAGACAGCAACCUUUGUUUCUAUUUCUGAAAUUCGUAAAAAAAUGACAGACGAAGAAUACAAUGUUAAGAUUUUGGCCUUUAUAGCCGAUUUAAAAACCCCUAAAUUUCUAUUUUUUGUCGUUUUGUUGUUUGGCCUGUUCUGCUGUUGUGUGUGGUUUACUGCCUUGCAGGUGUCAGAGGCUGACGGUCGGUGAUAGGCGAGUAACGGCCUGCGUGAGGAGUGGCAGAGGAGGCAGAACAUGCGGCGCUGGGCAUUGGGCAGAGGCGUGCGGCGCUUUGGGGUUUGCUCUUGGCUGAAAUUGUUUAAAUUGUUUAAGUUUGCUGUAAAUGGACUGGAAUAGUUUUUAUUUUUUAGGCCCGGGCCAAAAUUGGGCCUUACAAAGUCGAUAUGACAUUACACAAAUGAUAAUAUGUUUGUCACACCAAAUUUUGGAGAUAGCAGAACUUAAUGAAUUUAACAAAUAUCGUUUACGGUGAUUGAAAUCUUAAAAUUUGAAAAGUACAAUAACUAAAAUAUCAAAUUAACUUAUAGGGAUUAAAUCCACAACUUCAAUAAAAUACAGGAAUUAAUGGUAGAAUUUAACCUUUAUAUAAUAAUUUCCUUGGUGAAAAAAACGCACAUUAUCAUUUCCUUGAAUGAACUUCAAUUUGUCCAUUGAGAUAUAAUCGGAGGGAGUGGAAUAUAUAUAAGAUAAUAUUUGAUGUAUUCGGUAAAUGGAGAAUAUUAAAUAGAGAGAGCAAGCCAUUCGCCUCACGGAACACAUUAACGAAAGACACAAGCUUAAUACAGUCACUAAAUCCAUCAAUUUCAUUAACAACCUGCUAAUAAUUCAAGACAAUUGUUGGGUCCGGAUGGAUUAUAUUUUAAAAUUUUCUUUCAAAAUACAGAAGUUCCUUUGACAAAAAUGAAAAUAUUAUUUAAUUAUAGGGUUAGUAAUUAGUACACUAAUAAUCUACUUAAUGCUAUUGAUUUUUUUUUAAUAUUAUACAACACCUUUAUAAAACACGUGUCAACCCUCUGACUCUGCUUAUGAAAUUUAAAAACUUCAAUGACAAUGUACCAACUAUUAUUCUUAAUUAUUAUACUAUUCAUGAUUUAAGGACAAAGAUCAAAUACAAUAUUUGCUUAAAAAUCUGUAAUAUAUAUGUAUAUAUAUAUAUACAUUUGCUCACUUAUUGUGAUGUAAUAUAGCACCAUCCAGCUAACCCUAGCUUUCUAGCAAGUAGUCGGAGGAAAUUAUUGAGAAAAUAUCAUUAAAUAUAUCAACAAUAAUUGCACUAACUUUCCGAUGUUAACUACUGACCUUUGCGUCAACCUUGAGCUUAUAUAGGCCCCCUACAAUAAUUUAGGCUAUGGAAAUAAUCUUACAAUUAAUGCCUGAGAAAUAAUUAUAGAUCAAUUUAUAGUUUUAAUCCCUAUAAUUACUCAAUUGAAUUAAAAAUUUUGUUAUUCUUAUUUAAUUUAAUUUGAUAUAUUCUGUUCCUCUUAUUAAUGUUAAUGUUUAGAGUCCCCGCUUGUACAUUGGUGAUUAGGUCUCUCACCAUUAAAUUACUCUCUUAAGAACCUAACCUGCAAAUUCACAACAUAAAAAAUUUACAGUCAAAUGUAAUCACACAAAUGACAUUCCUCACUUAAACAGAUUAAGUCGUUGCAAAUAUCUAAACAUAAUCAAAGUCGUCGUUAUGGCCCCAAGAGAAGGCACGUUAACUUGUCUCUCUCACACAUAGGAUGAAAUUAGUCUAAACCUAACCUUGGUAGAGCCGACCAUGUCGGGCAGACCACCCUACAUAAAUCUGAUUAUUUUAUCAUAGUUUAUUCAUCACUGAAGGAAGUAUGCAAAAUUAGGCAUACCAUUUAUCCUCACCUCUCUCGCUGACAAAAGAUUCAUGUUAAGUAUAUUCACCCUACAUAAAUUAUCAAGAGGAAUCACAGAUUUAAGGACCGUGGAAAAGAAUUCCAGAACCAGUUAUAUACAAGCAGGGCCUAUGACAUCCCCACUAAUUCUCAAUCAUAUAAAAUAAUAUAUAAUUAAUUCGUCUGGAAUGUUUAAGGCAUGGUGGUGAAUAUAUCAUGAGCGAUGUUGCUGAGUUUCUUCUGAAGAAUUGGCUAGCUAUUAGUGUCUAAAGGAUCUUUAGUUAUAUGGGGCUUAUGUUUCGGUUGCUUGAACAAUUGCUUUUCAGAGGGCAGAAUAGUAGAGGGGGGUUUUGGGGGUCUGGUGGUAUGGAGUUAUGAUGUUAUCAAUAUGAGAUUUUGGUGAUUUGUACUUGAUAAAGGGACACUUUUCGUGAGGGAUUGCUACAUUUUGCAGAUUAUAACAUUGUUUACAAGUGCUUAAAAUGUGUAAUAAUUUGAUCGAGAGAAAAAAUGACCAAAACAAAUGUUCUCAGCAUUUUUGCUUCAUUUAGAACUUGUAAUUAAUUUUUUUUAUCAGAGAAGUUGUAAUUAAUUGGAUUUGGAAUGAAUUGAUAAUAUCCUUACUAUUUCACCUUUUUUAUAUGUUUGGCGUGUGAGUAUGAUACAGAUUGAACUGAUUUUUAAAGUAGAAAUAAAACGAUAACAAACCAAAACAUUCUGGUUUUCAAAAUUUUGAAUCCAAAUCAAUCGAAUUAGUUUAAUUAUAAUUGAAUGUUUUAUGUGUUAUGAUGAUGAAGGAAGUUGAUGAGGUGACUUGCUUCAUCUUUCAAAAUAUGAGGUUCGUUAGACACAUCUUUACUAUUGUUUUUUAAUAACAAAUGAAAAGUCAAUUUAAAAAACAAAAAUCCAAACCAAUGAAUUUCUUUUAUACAUAUAAGAUAAGCUUACUGCAAAGCUCUUGUUUUUUCAAAAUAAAAUUUUGUUUUUGUUUUAUUAAUUUUGUAUGAAUCAAAUUAAUAAGUUUAAUUUUUUUAAGGGUAAAUUAAACCAACAGUUACUCAACUUUGAUGCAGCUGACAAAAUAGUUGAUUUGGUUUCAAUUCAGUCACUCAACUUUCAAAAAAUAACAAAUCAGUCACUAACGUUACCAAAAAGUGACAAAUCAAUCACCCAUUAACAUUUUCCGUUACAGACCUAACGGGACAGGUGACAUGGCUAGUUAACUUGCCACGUUGACAUGGCAAUGCAUUUAAAAUUGGUCUAAUUAAGAAUUUGGUCAUUGUACAUUAUGAAAACAUAAAAAUUAUUUCAAUUGAGUAUCAAUAUUAAAUCUUGUCCAUUGACCCAAAAAUCAUCAUUUCAACAAAUUGUAUGUAAGAAAUUAGUGAAAAUCAACAAUUCAGUAAUUUAUAUCAAAAUUGAGGACUAGCUUUUCAUUUUUUUGUAAAUUACAUGGAUGACAUUCACAAUUAGACCUAAAUAGUGACAAAUUACAAAUUUAAACCCUAAAUACCUUUGUUCAGAGGAUCCGUAGCCAACAGAAUCAAUAAAACCGAUGGAGAUGAAACUCAUGCAUUUGGCGUGAAGAUGAAACUGGACAGAGUAGAACUCGCAUUGUUCGUCACCGUUGUAGGUGUCACAGUCACACGAGAAUCGCAUCGACAUGGCGCGUCGGCUAGUGAGAGGGAUUAGAUCAAGUCGAUGGGCAAUGAACUUGUCGUUGACGACGGAAGAGUUAACUUCAAUUUUGACGAGGUCGAUGGCUAUGUUGGGAACCUCGGCUAUCAUGACACGAUGGAGGGCAUUGGCCAUGGAGGCGUUGGUGUCAUGGCAGCAUAGUUGUCUUUGAGUUCUCGGAUUUUGACCCUUGGGAAUCGCUAGUAUGAAGCUCCUUCCAUUUUCUCUUCUUCUCCAUUUCUUCUCUUCUUCUUCUUCUUCUUCUUCUUCUACUGCCCAAGGCUCUUAAAUGGGGUUGUUUAAAUGACAGCUAGCCUACCGUUAAAUGUCAUGUCACUUUUCUGUUACAAACGUAACGGAAAAUGGUUAAAAAGAUUGAUUUGUUAUUUUUCAAAAAUUAAGUGAUUGAAUUGGAACUAGAGUGACUGUUUUGUCAAUUGCAUCAAAGUUGAGUGAUUGUUGUUGCAAUUUACCCCUUUUUUUUUAAUAGAGAUAAGCUUUGUGGUGGAAAUUUGUUAGGAAAGGAUGAUUGUAGGAAUGGUCCACAAAAUUAAUUGCAUUCCCUUUUCUUGAUGAAUUCUUAUCUUUGGGUCAACUCUUAGCUUAAAUACACUGCUAAAUUUAUUUUAGGCUGUACAAUAUAAAUGGAGCAAUUGAUGUCAGGAGAUAAGUUGGAAGUACAAUUAAAUUUUUUCAUAAGAGGAGAUGGGAUGAGAAGAUUUGAACCCAACAAUUAUUGGAAUUUAGAUUAUAAAAUUGGCGUGAAAUCAUGAAUUUAGAUUAUAAAAUUCUUUCCAUUUUAAUAAUCAUUUUAGAACUAGUUUGGUUUCCAAUCUAUAUUUUGUGUUGUGUUUUGUUUAUGUCAAAUUUUAAGGUAAAACUUUGAAAGUUAAAAUACAUUCUAAGUCCCUAUACACUUUGUACUUUUAGAAUUUAGUUCUCCUAGUUUUUAUUUUUAUGAAUUUAGUCUUUCUAUUUUUUGGUUUUCAAAAUUCAAGUCCCCAAUUAUUUUCACUGUUAAAAUUCUUCUAUUAAACUCACUAGUGUCACCUUUUGAAAUUACCAAAAAAAAAAAAAUCAUUUUGUAGUCAUGUAAUAAUAAAGAAUAACGUUAAAAAUAAUGAUGUGGAUUUUUAUUUAAAAUACUCAUCCAAACUGAUCAUGAUAAAAUGACUUUUUUUUUGUUGGAAUAGUGUUUUUAAGAAAAAUUGACGUCAAUAUUUUGAUUGGAAUAGUUUACAAUGUUAAUUAUUUAGACUAACUAAUGACAUUACAAAAAUAAAAUAAUGAAAUUAUGCCAAAAAUUAAGGAAUAUAAAUUAAAUCUCAAGUUUUAACAUAAUAUAGGGGCUAAUACUAAAAUUUGACCAUUAAUUUCCAUGUAAUAUAAAAUAAAAAUAAAAAAGUUGUGUGAAGCAGCCCAAGCUUAUGACAGAAAAAAAAAACACGGCCCAAAGCUAAGGUUACGUGUUAGAAAGGGAAUGUCAUGAUAGGGGUGAGUAUUCGAUCAAGUCGAGUUAAAUUGAGUCAAAAAAGUUUAAGUUAGUCGAGUUUACGAAUCCUAUUUUAGUAACCGAACUCAAUUUGAAUUUUUUUUCUGAAUCAUAUUGAGUCAAAAAGUUUCGAGUCAAGUUGAGUCGAGCUAAAGAAUCCUAUUAUUUAUACUCAAAACUUAUAUUUACAUGGACCGAUUAUUUAACUAGUAGAUGAAGUACAAGAUUAUUUAACUACAUAAACAAUAUAAUGGUUUUGCCUUUUAACUUAAUGAGUAAAUAUUUAUCAAAACGAUAUAGUUUUGUCUUUUAAUUUAAUAGUUUUGACUUUUAACUUUGGAAAAGAUAAAUUCAGAUUUUCAGAUAACUCGAAUUGUGUAAUUCAUAUUCAAGUUGAAUAUAAAAACUUAAUUUUUUUUAUUCGGGUUGAUCCGAAUAACUUGAUUAACUCAAAUAACUCGAACUAUUUAAUUCAAAAUUUAAAAUUUUUAUCAAAAUUUUCAGAUCAAAUCGAAUUUUGCUCACCCCUAGUAUUGGACAUUAUUUUUAUAUACGGGUGUAUAUAUAUGUGUGCGUGUGUGUGUGUUUGAUGUGAUUUCCUUGUGAGUUCCAUCUAUUUUUAGAAGUUUUUCCACGUAAAAUAUGUGUAUUUAAUAUUUUCAAUUCUUUUAUUAUUCUACUUGCUCGUUGCAAAUACGUUUGAUUCACAACAUUUUAACCUAAACUUAAUUGUAAAUGAUAAGAGAUAUUUUACGAUUAAAUAAAAAAAUUUAAACCACUAAACCAUUACCCUAAUAUGUCAAAACACAUGCAUUUUUUAAUUUCAAAAUUUAUGAAUUCCGAAGUAAAGAGCAUACGAUAUUUAUAUUAAUGUAAGAAAUGUAGGCUUGCUAAGUUUCGCAAAAUCAUAUUACACUUUUAAUUGAAUAUAAUGGUGGGAUGAUUCAAUUAUUAAAAACUAAGUUCGGGCAAAAAUGUAAAAAUAAUCUAAAAUUAAUUGAAUUAUUAUAAUAAAUUUAUAUAACUUAUGGAGUGAACCAAAUCAUGACAUAAUAUCAAAAAUAAUUAAGACAUGUCAUAUUACAAAUAAUAAAAACUCAACUUUAUAAGCAUAUCAAAAUUUAUUAUCAUGGCGUAUAAUAUGUUAUGAAAAAAGAAAAAAGAAAAAAGAAAAAGAAGAGAGACAAUCGCUUCAUCAUGAGAUAUAAGCCCUUGAAACCAAAAGUUAGUUGAAGCUGUUAGGAUCGACUCAAUUAAGCAACAAGUAACAAAAAAUAGUGGAGUAAAUUGAGAAAUUGAACACACAAAUUUAACGUGGAAAACCCCUCCAAAGAGGAUAAAAACCACGGGCAAAAAUAAUUUUACUAUAAUGACAAAAGAAUAAAGAGUACAAAAGAUGGAGAUAAAAAGCUAAACUCCAAAAAACCCCAAAAACAAAGAACCCUCAAAACGUAAACACAAUGUAACGCCCCAGAAUUUUUAUUUUUGUUCUUGCAAAGGUAUAACACAAUUGUGUAUCUACUUUAGUGGUUAAGUGUUUUGGGUGUAUGAGAGGUCUCAAGUUCAAGCCAAGACUUGGCGAAAUUUUGGUAUUUUUAUGAAUAAGCUCUAUCUUUGGUCAGUAGGCUUUUAAGUAAGAGUCGACAAAUAAUUAAAAGAAUGGGCUUGUUCGUUUGGUGGAUAAGUGGAGUGUUGGUGUGAAGGAGGUUUUGUGUUCAAUUCUCUAUGGUGGCAUGGAGAUAGUAUUUUUGCUCCAAUUUUGGCUAAGAGUUGUGUUUGGGCAAAAUUCUGAGUAGUUGUGUUUUAGUGGGUUAAUAGGGAGUGAUUUUUGGAAAUAAUGGGGGAGAGGUUAUCAGAAAAUAAUCUGAUUGUCUUUUUAUUGCAUAAAAAAGUAGAGUUUCGGUUUUCUCUCCAAUUACCCAAACUUUUUCUGACGUUUUCUUCUUUUUUUCCCUCCGCUGUCGAUUCUUUCCCCUAGUUGUUGCCAAAAUUUCCAUUAUUUUUUCCCCUUCCAUUUCUUUCUUUUAUUUUCCAAUUGAUUUGGUUGUUUAUCGUUGGUUGCGUGUGUUCGGUAAGUAACGGUUUUGUCUAUUGUUAAUUGUUCUUAGUUAAUCUCUGAAAGGGGGAUUCCUUUUUGGUGUUUCGGAGUUAAUCAAGGGGCUAGUGGUUAUGAAUCGAUGCUGUGAUUGUGUGAAGUCAUGAUUACUCAAGCGAGGUAAGGGUUUUGUUAGGUUUUUAGUUGAGUUCCUUCCAAAAUUGGUUAAUUAAAAAUGAAUUAAGUGAUUAAUCUGGAGAUUUGUUGGUCGAUUUUUAGGUUAUGGAGGCUUAGGAGUGCUUACGCAUUAGAAAUGAUACCAGGUGUGUACCCGAAAAGCAGAAAAUGAGAUUCGGCGAAAAGCAUAAAUUGCUUGCUAUUUGGACAGCAGCAGUGGGCUAACUUUAAAAAAUCAUCAUAAAUUGUGAAAAUCGAAUUAAAGGAUGAAAAAAGUAAGGAAUUAAAUAUUAUUGAGUCUAGUUUCUCAUAGAGAAAUGGUGUAAGUAAUGGAAUUGUAAAUCGUGAGAUAUAAUAAAUUUUGUGAGACAAGGUCAGAAUGAAUUCAGGUUUCCCUUUUUUGACUUUGGAAAAUCAUUAAAAAUUGUAUAAAAAUGAUUAUGGGUUAAAAUUUAUAUGAUUAAAAUUCUUAAUGAGUAUAUUUUCAAGAGAAACAAACCUUAACAUCAUCUGAAUCUCGUACUAAGAGAUAAUUAAUUUUUAGAGAAGAAGGGUCGAAAUUAUCAGACAGCAGAACAGGGACAAUUUUGAAGAAUUAACUGUACUCAUUGGCUAAACCAAAAAUUCUAAAAAUUUUAAGGUAAGAAGAUAUGUGAGUCUGUUUUUCGGGAAAAUCAAGCGGAUCUUAAUUUUGAAUUCUGUAGCUCUAGUUAUAAAUAAUUUAGUGACAAUGACUCAAGUAGACAACUCUGAAUGAUCAUAUUAGUAAAUAGUGGAAACAUAUAUGAAUAUUUAGCUAGCAUGGGUUACAUUAAAAAUGGAUCACACGGCCAAGGCCAAUUUGGGCCGAGUGGGCCACGCGGGCACAUGGGCGUGUGGGUCCAUUUUUACCAAAAUGUUUCUAAGGCUGCACAGGUUGCCCAAGUCGACUGUGAACCUACUGUAAGGUCGGUAAGUGCUACUUAAACCCCUAAAUGUGUGAAAUUGACUGAAUGAUAUUUGUACUGAGCAUGUUAAUAUCUAAACUGAAUAUAUGUACUGAAAUUGCAUAAUAGCAUAUCAUCCAUGGUAUGUUGCAUUGCAUUGGGUUGAGGGUUGUUAUUUGGAGGAAAUGUACUAAAAGGCUUUAAGCCUAAUUUACUGGAAUCUCAGCUACAAACUACUGUUUUGUGCCGCAAUAUUCAAUACUACUUGAAGUGUAGGAAUGGGUGGGUUGAUUAUAUCCCCACAUGGUGUGUAGAGGCUGGUUGGCAAAUGGAGUUUUAGUAAGCACAAGCAUCGUCAUCUGUCCAUCAUAACUUGGAAGACAACAAAGAUACUCAUAAAAUAGAUCUGCAAACUGAAAAGAGAGAAGUCAUGUGGAGUGAAUAAGAAGAAGAAAGAAAAAAAGGUUGGUGGGAGGAAGAAAAAGGGUCGCGAUAGCCAAUUCGAAGGUUGUCAAUGCCAUUGGGCAAAAUAAAACAUAAUAAACAAACGGCUUGGAGAAAAAAAUUAAGAAAGAAGAAAAAAUUUAGGCAAAAUUUAUAUUAAUGUAAGAAAUGUAGACUUAUUAUGAUAUUACAUUUUUAAGUGUGAUCAUUCAAUUAUUAAAAAUGUAUUUAUAACAAAUUAUGUAAAAUUUUAUAUAAGCAUAUAAUAUGUUAUGCAAAGAGAAUCACUUUUCUUAGUUGAAUUGUUAUAACACAUUAUACAAAAUAUAUUUUAAAUUAAAGCAUAAUGUGAAUACGAUACCAACCAACAAAUUAAAUUCGAUGAUUUAUGGAUAAUUACAUUUAUUACUCAAUUUAAUUUAAUUCAAAGAGCUAUUGAAUACACAUAACAAUUAAUUAUGAUUAAACUUUAAAUUUCACAGAAAAUAAAAAGAAAUAGAUUGUUGAAAAUGAUAAAAUGGAAAGAUAAAGCUACAAACUUCCUCCCCACAAACCUAAGAGCUUUUUAUUCAAAAUGCAGAAAUCAACAAAAUAGUCCUCACAAUCCAACUUAGCAUAGUAAAACAAUUAGGUGGGGAAAUCAAAUAGUAAAUUCCUUUUUCCUUGAAUCAACACCAACCGACUUUGUUGAAAUCUUCACUAUAGCUAAUCACAUUGCCUGAAGAUGUGAUAUGUAAGAAAAUUGGCCAUUGUUGAGUAACGACAGGUUGUGAUGCACUUUCCAAUAAAAGAAAACCAAACACUUCGCCAAUAAGGAUUUAUGUAAAGAACAACAAAAAUUGUCAAGACCACAACUAUAUAAGAAACCAGGAAGCUCACACAAAAAUCAUAUGUGUCUAGCAAACUGUCCUCUCCUUCAUCAUCUAACGAAUUUGAUCUAGUUGAUGGUGCAUCUGGUUUGGAGCAACUUUUAUGCAAAAUAGUUCCACAAAGAAAAGGGUUUCCCUCGUAACUACUUUCAAUAAAGGUCCCAAAUUGAGCUUUUGGUUCAGGAAUACUACCUGACAAGUUGUUGUGUGCCACACUAAAAACUUCCAAAGAGUUCAACUCUACCAACUGAUUGGGGAUUUCACCACUCAAGUUGUUGUAAGAAAGGUCCAAACUCUCAAUUUGAUGAAGUUUUCAGAAUGAUGAAGGUAUAACUCCGAUCAACUUAUUGUGUGACAAGUUUAAAGAAUAGAUUUCACUUAAGUUCCCUAAUUCUGGUGGGAUAUGACCAGUUAAGUUGUUGCAAGAUAAAUCAAUCCCGGUCAUAUAUGCAAGGAUGUUGCCCUCGUACGAAUAGAACCCACUCUUUGUUGUGAACUCUAUUACUUCUUCUAAAUUCUAUUACUUCUUCUAAGUAGCUGUCAGGGUAGUAAGGAUUUAUAUCCCUUUCCAAUUUUCUCAUCGCAAUGGAUGUUGAUUCAUCCAUUUCUGUAAAUGGAAGAUAGAACCCAGUUGCUAGACUCUCUUUCUCUUUCAUUGGAAGAGAUAAAUUUCCCAAACAAGAAGGUAUAGGACCAGAAAACAUAUUUUGAGAAAGAUCUAUGAUGCUUAAAGAAUACAACUUGCAUAACUGAAUUGGAACUUUGCCAUGAAAAUGAUUAUCUUUCAAGAGAAGAACACUCAAAGAAGAAAGUGUGUCAAUCCAUUUUGGCAUGCUACCUGUCAAAUUUUUUUCUCUAAGAUCUAAAGUCACUAGUGAAGAGCUAUUAUAAAAAGCAAGUGAUAGUGGACCUCUCAGUCUAUUCCCGUGGAGGUGGACAUGCUUUAUGUUUGGUGGAUUAAAACAUGACGGUAUAGAGCCAGAUAAAUUAUUUUGAGAAAGAUCCAAAAACUCCAACCAAUUCAAGUUGCAAAAUUCCAUUGGAAUAGAACCCUCGAAACCAUUGUUGGACAAAGCCAAUCUCAAUAAAAAUGAUGCAUUCCCUAUCCAUCUUGGGAGCUUUCCAUGCAACUGGUUGUUACUGAGAUCAAUAUCGCUUAGUGAAUUUGGAAACUCAAAAGUAGACACAUCAACAUUUGUCACCUCUCCUGAAAAUUUAUUUCCAUCCAAAUAUAAAUUCUGCAGCCCAUUUGCUUUGAGAAUCGCAGGAACUACAUUUCCACUGAAGUUGUUAUUUGAUAGUCUCAAAAUGGUCAGUGAGCCUUUCGUGAUCAACUCUUCUGGUACUUUUCCAUACAAUUGAUUGUUUGAUAGAUCUAAAAUUGAUAAAUCCUUCAUGCCACUUAAACAAAGUGGGAUAUUACCUUCAAAAGCAUUCUUGGAUAAGAAUAACCGACUCAAAUGUGGAAAAGUUGAACAUAUACUGGUCGGAAUUUGACCUUGUAUUUUGUUUUCAGAGAUGUCAAUUGAAGAUACAUUAGAAAUAAGAGCUGACGAAAAUGAGAGAGGACCUGUAAAAGAAUUGCCCUUCAAGAUGAGAUCUUCUAACUUUGUGUUGUUUUCUAACAACCAAGUUGGGACCGUUCCACUGAAAUUGUUAUGAGAAAGAUCCACAUAUCUCAAGUCAUAUUGGUAGUAAAGGAAGGUAGGAAGCUUACGACUGAGCUGUUGAGAUGUUAUGCACUUUGACAAACUGAUGACUUCCAAUUGGAACUUUGGGAUUGAGGUAUAAAAGGAAGGUUCCGUUACCAUCUUGUUUUCAUUACUCAAGAGGGCUUUGAUAUUUGAAAGGUUUGCAAAUGGUGCGAAUGACAACGGAAUUUGAAAAUGGUUUAUUGAAAUAUCUAACACACGAAGAGCUGUCAAGUUACUAAAACAAUGAGGAAGCAUCCCCUCCAGUGCAUUCCCACUCACAUCCAAUACUUCAAGAUUCCUUAGAUCACACCAUCCUGAAAAAUUGAAAAAAUUGGUGGAAGAAAUUCUAAUUAAAUUUGGUCUUAUUUAAGAGAAUAUGAGAUAUUACACAAAGCUCGUACAAAAUUCAAUUUGAGCCAUAAAUUUAUUUACCUUGAUUAGGUAGGGGACCAAUAAGUCAACAAUCAUAUAAAGAGAAUGUUUUAAGAGAAACAAGUACUCCAAUGCUUUGCAAAAUAUUGGUGUUGAGAGUAGAAUAGUCAAGAUAUAUUUCCUCCACAUUUCUCGACACAUUUGAUUCUAAGCAAUGUCUAGAGAUAUUAGAUAACGAUAUUGUAAAUAGAAAAUUAUAAUUGAUCAUGAGAAAGAAGUUCAUAUUGACGAGAAAUGCCGAGGACAGCAAUCGCCAUCCCAUGUCAAAAAAAUCAUUUGAGAUAAAUAAUGUUUGAUUUUCUCAGUCUUUUAUUUUUUGUGAAUGAAAAGAAAUAUAAUUUACUUGAAGUUUUUUUAAUUAUUCGAAAAUGCCAUUUAUUUAUUUUAGGCCAAAAAAUUCCAUUUAUUUAACUGUAAUAUAUAUUUUUAUGUUUUAUAUUAUUAAAACCAUAUGAAAUUAAAAUGAUAGUUAUAUGACAUAUUUUUCCAUAAAUAUGAGUAUUUUUUAUUUAUAAUAUUAUUUUUUUUAUUUUUAUAAUUAUUUUUUAUCUCAUAAAAAUUUAAUAAAUUAUUUUGAAAUUAUAUUUAUACAAACAAAAUAAUUAUGAACUCUAAUAUUUUAAAAUUAUGCAAAAUUUAAAAUAUUUUACUUUCAAACCGAAGACCAUAGGAUUUAUAAAAUGUUUCACCGAACCCAUAAGCUGAAUUUUUCCAUGUAUGAUAUAAAACAUAAAGACAAAGAUGAGCAACACAAAGACAGAAAAUUAUUAUUUGGUAGUUUGUUGAUUUACUUUAAGGAUUUAGCAGUUUCAAUCAUGUUCCUGUUAUGCUUUGAUUUUAUUUAGGUUCAUCCAUGUAAAACAAAGAAACAAAAACAUUAAUUAGUUGAAAAAUAAUUAAUUGUGUUAUAACAUAAUCCAAACCUUGUAUUAACAAAUAUUCUGUUUUUUAACCUUUUUCAACGAUGAAGUGGGGAGCACCGAUUCAGGGGCCAAGCAACAACUUUGUAUUGGAGGAUCGAUAUAAAAUUAUUUUUUUUGGAGGGACUAAAGUUAAAAUUAUUUGUGUUAAAAUUGUUGAAAUUGAAUUUUUAAUGUUUAAAGUGACUCAAAAUGCAAUUUUUAUGCAUAUAAUUAAAAAGCUACAGAGGAUUAUAUUGAAUAAUUAAAUUUUAAAAGGACUAAAAAGGGUAUUAUACCCUUGAUUAAAAUAUGUCAUAGGUCCUUGUACUUUUCAAAAAUUUGUAAUUUAGUCGAUAUACUUUUAUUUCUAAGGAUUUAGGCCCUCUACAUUUUCAAAUUUUAGAAUUUAAGUUCAAUUGUUAACAUUAGUUUUUUUUCCAAUGUUUUGAAAUAAAGAAAAUAUUCAAUUGGUAGCAAUGUAACUAAAAAAAUAGCAUUAUAAUGAACCUAAAUUUAACAAAAUAAUCUUAAUAGUGUCAACAAUUAAACUUAAAUUUUAAAAUCUAAAAAGUAGAGGGAUUAAAUUCGUAAAAAUAAAAAUAUAGAGACUAAUUUACAAAGAGUAUAAGGAUUUAUGUUAUAUUUUAACCUAUACCCGUUAGCCUAGGGGGGCCAAGACCUCUGUCUACCCCUUUGGCUUUUCCUCUACACCAAUUGAACAUUAGUUUAAUUGACAUUGUUGAUAUUGCAACAACUCUUUUUCUUUAUUUUCUUCGUCUUAUGAAAAAUGUUAAUUUUUAGUUUUGGACAUUUUUAAUAUGCUUAAAUUUGAGAUUUAAUUAUUAUCCUUUAUUUCUAAUUUAAAUUAAGCUUUAUAUUUUUAUAAUUUUACUAGUUAGUUCAAAUAGUUAAUUCAUUAACUUUUCAAUUAAAAUAUUAUGUAGUUAUAUAUUAUUUAAAAGUGGAUUUUUAAAUAGAUUAAAUUCUUAAAAAUAAAAGUUGAAGGAAAAAAAAUAAAAUUUAAACAAAAACGAAAGUUUAGUCAAAUGAUACCUUUAUGGAUCAUAAAAUCUAUCAAUUCAUUUGCCCUCAUAUUCAAAUGCAUCCAAAUCUGGAAAAAAAAGGGUAACAUAUAAACCUCAUUAUAUUAUCUUAAAACAUUAUUAAUGUUUUUGUUAAUUGAGUCAAGAUUUUGGGAAAAGAAAAUGUUUUUACCUUUUGCAUCUAUUGGUCCUUUCAAUUGAUUGCUUAUGGUCAAAGUUUUCAAAUUCAAAAGCUUGUUAAGAGAUGCAAAGACACUAUUAUUGAAGAGAUUGGAAUUUAAAUUAAGCUCUUUUAAGUGCGUCAAUUCCAAUUUUCUACCACCAUCUGCAAAAGAUUUACAUAAGUUCAUCACUGAAAAAAAUUAGCAUAAAAUUUAAUUAUAUAUAAAAACUUAGAUAACUCAUCAAAUAUAAAUACAUACCUUUGGAGGAUUGAAGGCUUUCAAUUUAAUUCUCGCUUAGAUCAAGUUUCUUCAAGUUUAUCAAAUUACUCAAUCCUAUAUAUUUUCACGUCCAAUUCAAAUAAUUAUGUUAAUAAUUUAAUUUUUACCGAAUAUUUGAAUGAGUUUCAUAAAAUAAAAACAAAAAAUUGGUUUGUUAGGCAAUUUUUUUAGGUGUUGUAGAAAUUUUAAGUUCCUCCAAGUUUAUUAUGCUUAAUUGUUUUUCAUCUAUAGUAGGAAGAAGAAUAGUUUCUAAUUAAUAUUAUAGGCUUUGAAUAUUUUAUAAGUUCAUCCCUUUGAAAAUUUAAUUUAUUCAAUAUAUAAAAAUCAUACUUGUACCUUUGUUUGAGAUGCUUUCAAUUCUGUUCCCACUUAAAUCCAAGUAGUUCAAGUCUGUCAAAUUAUUCAAUUCUGAAAUUCAAUCCUAAAUAUUGAUUAGUUAUAUAUAUUCAUGAUAUGAUAAAAUCAAAUAACAUAUUGCAAGUUUGCAACAACUUUUCCUUCAACAUAAAUUGAUUUUAAAGUACAAAAGAAACAAGUAAAAUCAAUCUACCUUGAAUAUGAAGCAGCCUUCCUUCCAACUGAUUACUACUCAAUCUUAAAGUCUUCAAGGAUGAAAGAUUUCUCAUAUCGAAUAGAAUGCUAUUCUUCAAAGAAUUCCCAGUUAAAUUAAGAGUUUCCAAUUUAGUGAGUCUUGAAAGCCACUGAAAACCUGAUUUAUAUACUAUAUAAUUAGUUACUACUAAACAUAAUAAAUAAUAAUACUCUAAUUUUACAAUAAAAAUUCACUAAAAUCUGUCAUUGCCUUUUGGAAUAAUAUUCUAUCAGAAAAGUCAUGCACAAAUACUUAUACCUUGGUUUGAGAUGCUUUCAAUGUUGUUGUAACUUAAAUCCAAGUACUUCAAGUUUGUCAAAUUAUUCCAUUCUGAUGAAAGUCAAUCCCAAUGUUGAUCAGUUAUGUUUUCAUGAUAAGAUAAAAGCAAAUGAAAUAUUGCAAUAGCUUUUUCUUAAACCAAAUUGAUUUUAAAGUAAAAGGAAGCAUGUAAAAUAAGUCUACCUUGAAUAUGAAAUAAUAUAUAAAUACUAUAUUUAUACCUUUGUUUGAGAUGCUUUCAAUUUUGUUCCCACUUAAAUCCAAGGACUUCAAGUUUGUCAAAUUAUUCAAUUCUAAAAUUCAAUCCCAAAUGUUGAUCAGUUAUAUUUUCAGGACAAGAUAAAAGCAAAUGACAUAUUGCAAUAACUUUUCCUUAAACCAAAUUGAUUUUAAAGUAAAAAAGAAACAGGUAAAACCAAUCUACCUUGAGUAUGAAUCAACUUUCCUUCCAAAAGAUUGUAUCUCAAACUUAAAGUCUUCAAGGAUGAAAGAUUUCUCAUAUAGACCAUAAUGCUAUUCUUCAAAGAAUUCCCACUUAAAUAAAGAGUUUCCAAUUUAGUGAGCCUUGAAAGCCACUGAAAACCUGAUUUAUAUACCAUAUAAUAAGUUACUGCAAAACAUAAAUAAAUAAUAAUACUCCAUUUUUUAGUUAAUUUGAGUAAGUUCUUGUUAGUCUUUUUUUCCUCUCAACCAUAUGAAAAAUUAUUGAAGCAAAAACUAAGUUACAGGGGAUAAAAGAAUGGAAAAUCACUGUCAAACGUCACAAUACAAAUAAAAACUAACAAUAGACCAAACUUAAUUUACCUCUUGGAUGACUUGAUCCUUCGAACCGGUUGUGUGAUAAAUCUAAAUAUCGGAGAGACGAAAGCUCACUCAAAGAUAAUAGAAUGCUAUCAUUCAAGUGAUUGUAACUUAAGUAAAGGAUCUCUAAAUUACUUAAUGUGGAUGAUAGCUUUCCAAAACCUGUAGGAGUGUUCUUUUAAUUAUAUACAAGUAAUUAAUGACUUUUCUUCAGUAAAAUAAAAUAAAUUAUAAGUAAUUGCAAACUAACAAUGAAUAGAGAAAUAGAAUAAUAAAAUAUGUAAUUAAGGGAAAAUUAAAGGCACGACCUUCAUUUUCAAGGUUACCACCUAUGGCAUUCUCUGACAAAUAAAGACUCUUCAAUUUCUCAAAAGGAAGAAACAUAGAGGCAUUGAGAUACCAAUAAUCCAUGUUGUAUUCCCAUUUUGUAGAAUUAAGGGAAGUUGUAUGACUCUCCUAGUGAUGGAGUUGCACUUAACUCUUUCCCAUUUACAGCAAUCUGAACCCUUCAGAUCAACCCAACUUUUCAAUGGGUUACCAUAAUUGAAGAAAGGUUUGAGAUGCAAGAGAGCGAUUCUCUCAUGCUCCAAACAAGCAUCAGUAGUACACCACCUACAUCCUUCUAACACCAACAACAGUACUGCCAUCCUAAUAAACCAUAACCAUUUCCACUCCAUCAUCAUCAUCUUUCUGUUUUCCCUUCUCUCUCAGCUAUAUGUUACUUUUUUAACUUCUAUAUGUAUAUAAUCUGCAGAAGCCUAAGCAGGAUCUAUGCAUCCCACUAAUUCACUGUAGUAUUAAAAUAACAUAUAAUUAAUUAGUUCCUCAAAAAUUGAAUGAAUCUAGACUUGUGCUGCUCUAACUUAUACGUUAGGAAAUAAAUGUUGACACAAUUUUUUGUUUUAUUUAGAAGUUGUAGUUAACUAUAUUUGCUAAAAUUUGUCUUGGAAUGAAACUGAAUUCAAAUCAAUCAAAUUAAUUAUAAUAAAAAUAAAAUUUCAAAAAACUGUUCAAAAUAUGAGUUAUGUUGAAGCCCUGUUCGACAUAUUUUAACUUUUAUUCUUUAUAUAAAAAUGAGAGUUACAAUAAAUAGUAAAAAGAAAAUCUAAUCAAAUGCACUUUUCCAUAACAAAAUUAAUUGCAUUCCUUGUGGAAAAUGAACUCUUGACUUGGCCGACCAUCCUCGACUGAAAUAGGCUGCUAAUUUUAAUUUAGACUGUAGAAAAAAUUUUAACCCAAUUAAUGUCAUUUGAAAUUAAAAUUACUUUAUAAACCUUUUGUUAGCCCUUAAAUUAAUAAACUUUUGUAUGUAGCUAAUUGAGUUUUAACUCAAUCGGUAUUGGUAUUGUUGUCAGUACAGGAAGACGUAAGUUUAAGUGUGCAGAAACGUGUGUUUUAUCCAAUUUAAGGAUUAGGGUAGAUUAUGAAUAAUUCUUUGAAUUGUAUUAACUUAGAAGCUUUGAGAUACUCACAAUUGAAUUAAACAUUCAAUAUAUAUAUUUAUCUUAUUUUUUUUUCUAUUUCCGAUAAAUAAGAAAAGAUCAUUCUUUACGCCACCAUACGAUUUUAGUAUCACAAUCAAAUGAGACUUUUAAAAGUCUUAACACUAUACAAGUAGUUAGUCGACAAAACUUGCACUAAUUUACUCUUUACGCCCAAAUUAUUUACAAAGUGCAAACAACAUUACUUUCACACUAAUUUUUUCCUUCUAUUUAUGUGGGAUAAAUAUCAAAAUUAUAUAUGAAUUUUAAUUUAAUGUGUAAUAUUAUAUAUAAAUUUUGAUUUUGUGUAAUUUUAAAAUGAAAUUUUGAUUUGAUUUAAUUUUCACAAAUCAUUAACAACAUCAUCGAAUUAGUACUAUAUUACAUUGAUAUAUUGCAUGCACAAACAGGUAUACUAAACCAAUAUGAAAAUAAAUAUAUGUAUUCAUUUAUUUAAAUGUGUACAAUUGAAUCAAAAUAAAAGUUUCAUGUAUACAUAUGGAUCACAAUUCAAGUUUCAUACAUAUAAUUGUACCAAAUCAAAGUUCAUGUAUCAAAUUGCACAUUAAGCCAAAAUUUAUGUAUAAAUUUAAUAUUUAUCCCAUUUAUGGGAGAUUAGCUUUCCAAUGGUAUUGUUUUAUUUACAUUAAUCCAAAUAAUUGGAAAUGAUGAAUUAGUUUAACGAAGAUUGUAAUUCUAUUAAUGUUUCUUCUCGAAUUUUUGGUUGCUCUUAUUUACAUGUUUUAUUAAUUGAUAGAUUUAAAUUCUUGGAAUAUAUUCUAAUUAAUUAGAUAUUUCCUUCCUUCCAAAAGCCUUUCAAAAUAGGUUUAGUUCGACCAAGAUACUCUUGUAGAAAAUUUUAGUUUUGUGGGAAAAAGAAAACUAGAUUUAUUUUUUACUCUAAUUGGUUUUAUAUGCAAGGUAUAUAAACUUUUGUGUCGCUGCAAUUUUUUUCCAACAUAUGUAUGUGAUUUGUGGGGUUUCAAUUUUGAAUUUUUUUUUACAAUUUAAUUAAAUUGUGAAAGUAUUUGAAAGUUUUUGAGUUGAUACAAUGUUUAGAACUACCCCAACACCCACCUAACCCUUAAAUAGGAGGAUAAACACGCUUCAGCACACUCGAACUCACAUCCUCCUACACCGAUGAUAAUACUAAUGCCAACAGAGUUAAGACUCAACCAGCCUUGAAUUUUGAAUUUUACUUCUUACACAUUUUGAAUUUUGAAAUUUUAGUUUUGACCCAAACAGUAGCAGUUAAAUCAAUUUGAUUAAAUUUAAUUACUAGUCCUAUAUUAUGCGUACGAUUAUUGAUUAGUCUAUACUCUCAAAUUGGGCAAUUCUAAGUACCUAUACUUUCCGAAUUUUGAAAUUUCAGUCUUGAUGCAAAUGACAAUUAUUAAUCCAUUAAUUUGAUUUUUAGCGAGUAAUAUGUGAAAAUAACAAACUGGUAUAACAUUACACAUAUGAUAAUAUGUUUAUUCCACCACAUUUGAAAAUAGCCGAAUUUAACAAAUAUUGUUAGUGAGGAUUGGAAAUUAGAGUCUAGCCCCCUACAAUAAUUUAGGUUAUGGAAAUAAUCUUGCAAAUAAUGCUUGAGACAUCAUUAUACAUCAAUUUAUAGUUUUAAUUCUUAUACUUACUCAAUUGGAAUAAAGAUUUAGUUUUUUAUUUUCUUUUGAUACAUUGUCUAGAAUCUUUAUUCCAAUUGAGUAAGUAUAAGAAUUAAAACUAUAAAUUGAUGUAUAAUGAUGUCUCAAGCAUUAAAAAUAACUAACUUCAUUAAAAAAUUCAUUAGUUGGCUCUCUAAGACUUAAAAAUUAAAAUUAUGUGGUUAUUAAAAAAGAAUUGUUUUUAUUAAAUUAUUAUUUAAAAUAAAUUUAUCUCAUCAUAAUGAUAUGAAUUUUUUUUCUUUAAAAAAUCCACAUUAACCGACUAAUAGAAUUGUAUAAAGCUGCCACCAAUCUCUUGGCAUGAUGGCAAAAGAUUCAGAGGCAAGCCAGAAAGUUUUUUGAGAGGAGUGAAUAAAGUUAUAUCUUUUUAUUAUAGUAAAAAUGAAAUUUUAUUAUUUUAAUAAUUUAUAUCUUUAUAAUUUUUAAAAGAUUAAAUAAAAAUUUUUUAUUUUUGAGGGGAUAAAGUAUAAGUUUAUCAUAUACUAAUUUAAAAAUUUUAAAAUUAUAAAAAGACUAAAGAUGAAAAUUUUCAUUUUAGGGAGAUGGGGCCCUGCCAGGUCCCUUGACUUCGCCUUGAUAAAAGUAUUAUGUUGCAAGUAUAAAGUUUGAGUUUAAUCUCGAACAAUCUCAUUUCUUAUCCCUAAUUAUAAAAUAAUAAAAUAAAUAGAGCAAUUGAUGUGAGGAGGCAAGUGUAAUAGGUCAAUUUUGACCUGGGCCAGAUUUCAAAACAAAACCCAAACUAAAUAAUAAAAGAGUCCAAAAUAGUUAAAACAAUCCAUCCAUUUUACAAACAAACCCAAAUUAGCAGCCCAAAUACAAAUUAAAACUCAAUAACUCAAAACUAACCCUAGCCCAAUUAGCUCAACACUUAAACACAACAAAAAAACCCCUAGCCCCCUAAGCCUCCAACGCCGCAUGACCACCUGUGCCGCACGCCGCCGCCGCUCAAGGCUUGCCUAUCACCGACCAUCCACGCGUCUAACACUUGCAAAACCAAGGCAACAUGCAACAACAAAGGCCAAAUAGAGGAAACAACAAGGAAACAGAUAAAAAAGGAAGAAACAAACAGUUUUGAUUUGGCUACAAAAGCCCGAAUCUCACCCUUGUAAUUUUUUUAAGAACAUUAGAAAAUAAAAAACAAAAACAACACUUUCAAGGUGAAUUUCUACUUUUAUUUCUGUUUUAAAUACCUAUUUGAUUCUAUAUUCAUAUUUUUAUUUGAUUUUAUAUAUAAUAAAAUAAUAAAAUAAAAAAAGGAAGAAAGGGCUCACCGGAGACGCCCCGUGACCGCGCCGUCGGAGGGCUCUUCUCCAUUGUUGCCAUCGAAUCCGAGAGAGGGUCGGGAGUACUCCUCUUUUGUUUUUUUUUUUGGGUCGAGAGGGCUGGGCUUCCAAGGGAGCUGUGAAACGGGGGCUAAAAACGACCUUUUGCGCAACGCCGGCCACCGGCCACAGGCCACAGCGGCGCUGCGGCGGCAACCCUGGCCUGCCAAGGGGUGGGCUGAGAGAGAGACCAAGAGAGACUGAGAGAGUUCUCUAUUUUUUUAGAAAAAUAAAAGUUGAACUGUUUUUUUCUUUUUCUUUUUGCUAUUUAUAUAGGGUAUAAAACUGCGUCGUUUUGGACUUAAGCAUCAGUGGCCAAAAUGACGCUGUUUUGCAUCAGACCAGAAAGCCAACCCGAAUGCAGUUAGGAUCCUAGCGCAUUUUAGCUUUGAGGAGCUAUUUGCAUAUUCAACCCUUCCGCUUUUGCAAUAUAGUGCAAUUUGGUCCUCGUUGUUUUUAUAUUUUGGCCGCAUAAUUUUCUGAUUGUUUUACUUUGGUUCGAGCUAAAACGCUACGCAUGGGGGCUGGGAAUAUUUGCCAGUCGGUCCCUCAUUCCUUAAGCACACUCUAUUUCAGUCCCUAGGCUUUUUUUAUUUAUUUGCAAUUUGAACCCCAAAUUUUGGGUCGAUUUCAGUAUCAUCCUUAGUCCAUUUAAUUUAUUUGUUCAUUAUUAUUUUUUAUUUAAAAAGCUCUUUUAAUAUUAUUUGUUUUAAGUUUUUUAUUUAUCAUUUACUUUAAACUGUUUUACAUACUAUUUAUUUAAAAUUUUUUUAUAUUAUUCAUUUUAAACCAUUAUAUGUACAUUAUCUUUUAAAUUCUUAUAUACAUAUAUAUAUGUCGAAACCGUUUUUUUGAAAACAAAAAUUUUUAGUUUCGACUUAAAAAUAAAAACUGGAGUCGCCACCGAUCCUUGAUUGAGGUGUAACCGGCUCACCUUAAAAACAAUUUUGGUCUACGAGAUUUGAGAAAAUGAGUUCGGGAGUCAGUUACGCACGAGGAAGGAUUAGCACCCUCGUAACGCCCAAAAUCGGUACCAAAUUGAUUCUUUAAUGCCUUGGUGUCGAAAAUUUGAAAAGAUUUUAAAAGGAAACUUUUUAUUUCAUGAAUGAAUCAAAAUAAUAAGACAUUCUUAUUUCAAAGAAAUAAAACACCACACCCAGUGAGUUAGGGCACAAUAUUUUUAAAUCUUCAAAAUACCCGAAUUUUACCUUUUGCUUUUGAAAAUUCUUAUUUCGAGAAGUCAAAAUAUCAGGACCAGUAAGUUAGGACCCAACAUUUUUGAACUCCCAAGAAUAAGCUUUUAUUUAAAAUUUACGAAUUUAUUGCAAAACAAAUACUUGGCUUUCUAAAUUCAUCGAAAAAUAAUCACGAUCCAGUCAGUUAGGACACGAUCUUUCUCGAGAAUCAUGAAUGCCAAAUAUUUUGGAAAUUUGUAAAAUAUGAUGAUUUUAAUGCCUUGACGAAGCCAAUAUAUAUUUUCUUUAAAAGCAUGAUAAAAUGUUAAUGCAUAACAUGAAACCAAUACUUUAAUUUAAAUCAUAUGUAUAUAUGUAUUUGCAAAUCGCGAAAAUAAAAUAAAUAUAAAUGUAUGGAUAUGUCAUGAAAAUAUGUGUGCAUUUAAAUAUAUGUAUAUAUGUACAAUAUGUAUAAAACCAUGAAAUAUAUAAAAUAAUAAAGAAAAAUGUGUACGUAUAUGUAACAGAGAAUGCAUGUAUGCUUUAAAUUAUAAGAUAUAGGAAAUAAAUAUGUUACAACAAUGUAUAUCUAUAUAAAAUAUAAAUGUAUAUAAAAGUAAGUAAAAGUUAUGCAAGUAGAAUAAUAAAAAAUAUAUAUAUGUAAGGUGCAUGGGUUUAUAAAAAUUAUUUUUAAGAAAAAAUGUAUGCAUAUAUUAUUGUAGAGAAUAAGCAUAUGUAUAUAUAUAGUAAUGGUAAUAAUAAUAAUGAUAAUAAUAAUAAAAAUGAUAAUAGUAAUAAUAAUAAUAAUAAUAUAUGACAUAAUUAAUAAUAUAAAAAACAACAAAUUAAGGAUUAAAUUGGAAAUAAGCGAAGUUUUGAAACCAAAUUUAAAGAUGGGAAUUAAAUAAGGACCAAAUUAAGAUGCGCGCAACAGUAGGAGGAUCGAAAAGAUAAUUUGCCCAAACCUCCCAAAUGCUGCGCAGCAACAUGGACCAAAUUGAAACAGUAUUAAAACAUAUGGCCUAAUUUAAAAAAAUAAAAAGACAGAUUUAAACACCCCUCAUAAAACAGAGGACCAAAUGUGAAAUUGUCCCCUUUCACAGAAAUGCGCGGAUCCUUCCCCGGGUCGGGUCACCGCACGGGUCGUAGGGCUGAAAUGGCGUCGUUUUUGUGCUUACCCUUCGGCCCAAAACAGUGCCGUUUUCGGUAAGCUAUAAAUACAAUGUUUUUUUUUUAAAAAAACUCAUUGUUCUUUCUAUUUCAAAAAAAAAAACAAAAAAAAAAUUUCCUUUUCUCUCAAGCAGGCCCAGAAUCUGGCCAAACUCCGGCGAGUGGCCACUGCGCCGGCCGCCAGUUGCCGGCACCGGCGCCGCCGUUCACGGCGGCGGGGAGUAAAAAAUCUCGCCUUUUUUAAACUGUUUUUAGAUCCCGUUCAAUAGUCAAACUGCUUUGGCUCAAAAGGAUGACCCUUGGCCCCUUCUCCUCUCGGAUCCGAUGUUCUUGAAGGAGGAGAGCCCUCCGACGGUGAACCCGCAAGGCAAAUCAGGUAAGCCCGUUCCCCUUUUACUUCUUAUUUAUUAUGCUUAAAAAAAAACAAACAGAAAGAGCAAACAAGGAAAAAAAAAACCGAAUCUAAGGGAAAAAAAAACCUCCGUUUUGUAUUUUAUUUUUUCAAAUCUUUUUUCUUCGUAUUUUCCUCUCUAUUUUUGUAUGUCUUUACACUCAAGACCCCCUUUUCAGAUCUCCCCCCACGGCUUUUAAAUAGUCGAAAAUAACAACAAAAUAAGCAACAAAAUCAUAUCUCCCUUCAAUAUUGGUUGCGAUUUUUGCUACUACUCUGCUAUUGCUGCGCCAUAUGCUUCUUUUUCGCAGGUGUGGUGGCUCUUGAGUGCGUGCGACGCGUGGGAGCGACAAGCGCGAUGUGCGGCGCUUGCGGAGGGGUGGUGCGCAGGGUGAUGCAGCGCUGAAGCAGAAAGGGCUAGGGUUUCUGGACUGGGCUAGGGUUAAUGUAAUUGGGCUAAAUUUUUGGGUUUAGUCUGUAGAUGGGUAAUUGGGUCUGCUAUGUUUUUAUUUUAUAUGGGCCUGGGCAGAAAAAUUGGGUAUUACAAUAUAUAUUAAAAAAAACUGUUGUAUGUUUCUUAUUUAUUUAUUUUAAACUGUUAUUAUUAUUCAUUUUAAGUUUUUAUAUACUGUUUAUUUAAAGCCUUUUAUUAUUUAUUUUUGAAUUGUUCUUAUAAAUUAUUUAAUUUAAAUUAUUAUUCUUUGAAUUUUUUUUUUUUGCAUAUUAUUUUGUUUUGUUUUCUUUGAUUGUUAAUAUUAGUAUAAAAAAUGAUAUACAUUGUGUGACUAUUACCAUCAUGUGUACUAUAAUUAGUUUCUUCGUGUUUUCAUAUUAUUAUCACUCAUUAACAUAUAUAACAUUUUUUUCAUAAAUUGUUAUUUUAUGUUCUAUGUUAUCAUUCCAUUUCACUUCAUCACUUUGAAAUUAAGUUGCCUUCAAUUUGUGUUUACCCAUAAUAAACCGUUCUAUUUUGUCACAAAUAAAACAAAUGCACCUCGUUCAAGCAUUGUACUCGCAAUUAUUCAAAAAAGAGAAAAAUUUUAAAAUAAGGCAAUAUUUCGCAUUUUGGAGAUUCGAGAAAUUGUACCCUAACUUACGAGGUUUCAAUUUUCUCAUUGAACCUAAAUAGCAAAAUAUCUUUCUAAUUUUCAAAAUUUACGAAAUUCCAAUAAAGUUAAAGGCUAGCUUAUUCUCGAGGGUUUCAAGUGUCGUGUCCUAACUUACGGGAUGUGACAUUUAUUAUCUCGAGACGAGAGGAUCUUUGACAUUCGUUUCGAUUUAUUCAAGCAAAUUCUUUUAAAUUAAAAUAGCGUUAACAAAAGGGGGAUUGUGUUUUAAAUUCUUUCAAAGUUUUUCAAUUUUUAAUAUUUAGACAUUAAUUAAUCAAUUGGGUACCAAUUUUGGGCGUGACGAGGGUGCUAAUCCUUCCUCGCAUGUAAUUGACUCCUGAAUCCGUUUUCUCAAAUUUCGUAGACCAAAAUCACUGUUUUGAUAAAUUAAAAUAUUUUAUUAAAACAACUAAAUUAUGAGAUGACCUAAUCACAUCUCAUAAAAAAAUGGAUUGGUAGCGACUCUCGUUUAAAUUUCCGUUUUCAAACCAACAUCGACCCUUUUAAAAAAAAUGGUUUCAAUAUUAAGUUAUAAGUUGAAUGAAUUAAAAAUAUGUGAAAAGUGUAAAUAAAGACUCUUCAAUCUCAUUUCCUCUAAUGCUCUUUUUUUUUUAAUCAGAGAAGUUGUAAUUGAUUGGAAUGAAAUUAAUAAUCGCCUUAUUAUUUCACUUUUUUUCUUCAUAUGUUUGGCGUCAGUAUGAUACAGGUUGGACUGAUCUUAAAGUUGAAGUAAAACGAUAUCAAACAAAAACCAUUCUGGUUUUUAAAAUUAUGAGUCCAAAUCAAUCCAAUUAGUUUAACUAGAUUUUAAUGUCUUAUGUGUUAUGAUGAUGAAGCAAGUUGAUCAAGGGACUUGCUUCAUCUUUCAAAAUAUGAGUUGCUUAAGAGCCCUGUUUGACGCUUUUUUUUUUCUUAAAUUACAAACGAAAAGGUAUUUUUUUAAAAAAAAUUAACUUAAUGAAUUUUUUAUAGAUAUAAAUUUCCUGCAAAGUUAUUCUUUUUUAAAAAAUAUUUUUUUAAUUUUUUAUAUACCUUUUAAAUAGUUAAUGAAAAUAAGAGUUUUCAUUUCGAAAUGCAAAAGCCAAAAAUAGUUUUUGACUACAAAAGCUGUGUGUUCUUCAUCACUUCUGCAGUGGAAAAACACUUCUGCAGUGUAAAAACACUUUUAACCCAAAACGGGUUUUCACCUAAGUAGAGAAUCCACCCUAAAAUUGUAAAUAGAAAAAGGAAGGACCAAACAUUGUUUCUACCCUGUUUUUGUCUCCUCUUUGAAAAUACUUUCCAAAAAGUUUUAUCAUUUUCUUUUUAUUAAGUUUUCUGUUGGAUCUUAUAGUCAAAUUCCUUUACAUCAUGUACGUUAAUUUGCUUCGCUCUGAUAAAUGUUACAUAUAGGGUUAUCAGCUAAUUAGGAAAGACUGAUGAUAGUCACACCUUACAUCCAAAAGCAAAGCUUUUUUCACAUGUGUAUGUAAGGUUGCUAAGCAAAUCUGAUGAGCCUUCACUGAUGUUUUAAGGUUUAAGUUGAUGUUCUGUUGGUGCAACAACAGAAUCAAGCAAACUCAGCAAGUAUCUUGUCGAGCAAGCCUCGAAACUUGCUGAGCAAACAAACAAUUUCGAGUUAAAGAAAGAAGAGAAUAAGCUGGGGAAAUUUGAGAGAAUAAUAUUGAUGAACAAAACUGAUUUCAUUCAUACAUAAAACAAUGGCUUGAAGCCAGUACAUAACUCAAGCAUAAGGCUUGUCAAAAUCAACAAGUAAUUACCUACCUCCACUAAUUACAUAGAAACUUGAAAUCUUAGCUUGUAAACUUAUACAAAACUGUGUUUACAGCUCAUACAUAAGCUAAUUACAUCAAUCAGAAAGCUAACUUAGUUAGAAAUGAACUAACACUCAUUUCAUCAACUAAAUAUAACAAAAUGAACAAAAUGAGCUUGCACCAGCAGCCCUUGCAUCUGUUCCAGCUUUGCUUGGUCUUCAUGGCCUGUAUGGAAUCGAGUGUUGGCUUCAUGCUGACCAACUUCAACACUCCUCCUUGGUUAGCAUGGUGCAAACACCUAAUUUUCUUCUUAAAUGCUCAAACCUUGUGACAUUAAGGGCUUUAGUCAAAAUGUCUGCAAGCUGGUCCUCUGAAUUGCUGUGAAUUAGCUUCACUUCCUGAGCUUGCUCCAUUUCUCGAACAACAUAUAGCUUAAUGCUAAAAUGCUUUGUUCUUCCAUGGAACACAGGAUUUUUGGCAAUUGCAACAGUAGAUUGAUUGUCACAGAAGAUCUCUGUUGCUUCCCUUUGAUCCAUAUUCAAAUCAGCCAGGAUUUUCCUAAGCCAAAUGGCUUGGUUGACAGCACUUGCUACUGCCACAUACUCUGCUUCAGCAGUAGAUUGUGCCACCAGACUUUGCUUCUUCGAGCUCCAGCAGAACAUAGCUGAACCAAGGUUGAAAGCAUACCCUGAGGUGCUUUUCAUGUCAUCUAUCGAUCCAGCCCAGUCACUAUCAGUGUACCCAACUAGAUUUAGAUUUCCUUUCCUGCUGUACCUUAAGCCAUAGUCCAAAGUGCCUUUGACAUAUCUGAGCACUCUCUUGGCAGCCUGGAAAUGCUUCUCAUUGCAACAAUGCAAGAACCUUGAGAGCAAUCCUACAGCAUACAUUAUGUCUGGUCUAGUGGCAGUCAAGUAUAGCAAACAACCAACUAGACUCCUGUAGGUAGUUUCACAUACCUUCUCAAAAUCUCCUUGGCUCGAUAGUUUUUCUCCAACAGCAACAGGUGUUUUAGUUGGUUUGCAGUUUUGCAUGGAGAACUUGGUCAGAAUCUUUGUGGCAAAGCUCUUCUGACUUAAAAAUAUCCCAUUCUGUGCUUGAGUCACCUCCAUUCUAAGAAAAUAGGACAUCUCCCCAAGAUCAGACAUUUCAAACACCUCUUGCAUCUUGGUCUUGAAAUUAACCAGCACUGCUUGAUCUCCUCCUGUCACCAGCAGGUCAUCAACAUAUAGGGACACAAUGAGUUGUGUUUGUGUCCCUUGCUUCUUGACAUACAGUGUUGGCUCACUCUUGCUUCGAUUGAAUCCCAGAUCAGUCAAGUAGCCAUCGAUUCUGCUGUACCAGGCCCUUGGAGCCUGUUUUAAGCCAUAUAGGGCCUUCUUCAAUUUGUAGACCAUAUGCUCUCUGCCAGCUAUUUCAAACCCUUGUGGUUGUUCAACAUAGAUGUCUUCAUCUAAGAAACCAUUCAGAAAGGCUGAUUUCACAUCAAGUUGAUGGAUCUUCCAUUCGAGCUGUGCUGCUAAGGCAAUCAGCAGUCUGAUGGUGUCGAGCCUGGCCACUGGUGCAAAGGUCUCCAAGUAGUCCAAGCCAUACCUCUGACUGAACCCCUUGACCACUAGCCUUGCUUUUAGCUUGUUCAAGGUACCAUCAGCAUUCUGCUUGGCUUUGUACACCCAUUUCACCCCAAUCACCUUCCUUUUGACUGGCCUUUCAACCAAUUUCCAGGUCUGGUUCUUCUCAAUCAUGCUGAUCUCCUCAGCCAUUGCCUGCUUCCACCCUUGUUGAGCCUCAGCCUCUUCAAAGUUGCUUGGUUCAGCUAUGGCUACAUGAGCCCUUUCAUAAACCUCAGCCAAUGACCUUGUUCCUCUGACUGGUUCAUCAUCAAUAUCCAUUUCAGGGACAUUUUGGUCUGGCUCAGCUUGGUCUACUGCAAGUUCUUCAGAAACUUCUUCAGGUUCAUGUCUUUCCCAGUUCCAACAUGACCUCUCAUCAAAUACCACAUCCCUGCUUAUUGACACUUUGUUUGUUGAAGGAUCUAAAAUCCUAUAGCCCUUCUUAACAGUGCUAUACCCCACCAAAACACCAGGUCGAGCCCUUUCAGACAAUUUGUCCCUUUUAACAGCAGGUACAUGUGCAUAACAGAUGCAUCCAAAGACCUUCAGAUGAGCCAAUGAUGGCUUGAAGCUAAACCAGGCCUCGAAUGGGGUCUUUUGAUCCAAAGCCUUGGUUGGAAGUCUAUUUUGAAUGUAUGUUGCAGUGUUAACUGCUUCUGCCCAUAGUGCUUUAGGCAGAUUUUUCUGAAUCAUCAAGCACCUGGCCAUAUCCAUCAAACUCCUAUUCUUCCUUUCACUUACCCCAUUCUGCUGAGGUGUAUAUGUGUUGGUAAGUUGAUGUUUGAUGCCUGCCUUAUCACAGAAGGCUUGGAACUGAGCUGAGGUGUACUCAGUCCCAUUAUCAGACCUUAUGGUCUUCAGUUUGCAGCCUGUUUCAGUCUCAGAAGCAGUCUUGAACUUCCAAAACACUGAGGCCACUUCUGAUUUCUGUUUUAAAAAGUAAAUCCAGCAAUAUCUCGAGAAAUCAUCAAUGAACAGUAUGAAAUACCUGUUUCCACUUAAUGACUCAGUCUUCAUAGGGCCACACACAUCAGUAUGCACCAGUUGGAGUUUUUCAGAGGCUCUUCAGGCUUGAUUCGAGGGAAAAGGGAGUCUGGCCUGCUUUCCUAGCUGACAAACAUCACAUACAUCAUCAUGGUCCACUGAGUUGAUGAAAUUUUCAGCCAGGUCCUCUCUGACCAUUCGAGCCAUCGAUCUGAAGUUGGCAUGUCCCAGUCUUUGAUGCCACAGCUUGGAUUCAUCUGAAGUGGCUGUGUAGGCAAUGUCUGACUUUUUUGUCCAGUCAACCACAAAGCUCUUAUCAGCCAUAGGGACUGCCAUCAGUUUGGAUCCACUUGGAUCACUGAUUUGGCACUGGUGGUCUUUAAACACAACUGAAUAACCUUUUUCCAGCAACUGAGCUAUGCUGAGGAGGUUUCUGUCAAUUUCAGGCACCAACAGCACAUUUGAAAUCACUUUGGUACCUGUAAUGGUGCAUAUCAGCACAUCACCCUUGCCUUCAGCUUGAAUAAAAUGACCAUUUCCUAUUUUGACUUUAGUUCUGCAGCUUCUGUCUAAAGACUUGAAGAUUGCAGCAUCAGGUGUCAUGUGGUUGGUGCAUCCACUGUCUAGGAGCCAACCAGAUGAGAGCCUUUCCUGAGCAGCUGAGCAUGACACAGCAAAGACUUGCUCCUCUUGGUCACUGUCCUCCUUAGCUACUCGAGCCUCAGCUUUCAUCUGUUGAAACUGAUUUUGCCUCGAUUUGGUCUUACUCUUACAGACUCUCUCAACAUGACCCUUCUUCUUACAAUGCUGACACACAGCAUCUGGAUUGAACCAGCAUUUUUCUUCUGAAUGACCAGCCUUUCUGCAGUGCUUGCAAGUCUGACCUUCUCUCCUUGCAGCAUCAUUCUUUGGCUUGUCUCUCCAGGCCUUCUUGCCUUUGUAGGCAGUAUUUGUUCUUGCCUGAAAGGCACCUUCUUGGUGCUCCUCCAGUCUGCUUGCUCUCCUCUGCUCUUGAGCAUAUAGAGCAUUGAUCAACUCUGUCAGGGAGAUGGUGGACAGAUCCCUUGAGUCCUCGAGAGAUGAGAUUUUUGCCUCAUACCUCUCAGGCAGAGUUGCUAUAACCUUCUCCACUAUCCUAGCUUCAUUGAACUGCUCUCCAAGGAGCCUGAUGCUGUUAACCACAGCCAUAAUCCUGUCAGAAUAUUGCUUGACAGUUUCUUCUUCCUUCAUCUUCAAAUUCUUGAAAUCUCUCCUCAAGUUUAACAACUGUUUCUGCCUUGUCCUCUCUGUCCCUUGAAACUCUUCCUGCAACUUGUCCCAGGCCUGUUUUGGUGAUUCACAGGCCAUAAUCCUUGUGAAAAUCACAUCAGACACUGAGUUUUGGAUGCAAGACAUAGCUUUGUGCCUCUUGGUCCUUUCAUCAGCAUGCUGCCUGAUCUGAGCCACUGUUGGAUUAGCUCUAAGUGGCUCUGGUUCAACAUCAAAGUUGACCACCUCCCACAGAUCGAAAGCCUGCAGGUAGGUCUUCAUUUUGACCACCCAUAUGUGAUAGCCUUCUCCAUUGAAGACUUGAGGUGCAGCUGGUGAAAAGCUUGAUGAAGCCAUGGAAUUGAGUAACAGAUCCCUUAAGAAAUAGGCUCUAGAUACCAAUUGUUGGUGCAACAACAGAAUCAAGCAAACUCAGCAAGUAUCUUGUCGAGCAAGCCUCGAAACUUGCUGAGCAAACAAACAAUUUCAAGUUAAAGAAAGAAGAGAAUAAGCUGGGGAAAUUUGAGAGAAUAAUAUUGAUGAACAAAACUGAUUUCAUUCAUACAUAAAACAAUGGCUUGAAGCCAGUACAUAACUCAAGCAUAAGGCUUGUCAAAAUCAACAAGUAAUUACCUACCUCCACUAAUUACAUAGAAACUUGAAAUCUUAGCUUGUAAACUUAUACAAAACUGUGUUUACAGCUCAUACAUAAGCUAAUUACAUCAAUCAGAAAGCUAACUUAGUUAGAAAUGAACUAACACUCAUUUCAUCAACUAAAUAUAACAAAAUGAACAAAAUGAGCUUGCAUCAGCAGCCCUUGCAUCUGUUCCAGCUUUGCUUGGUCUUCAUGGCCUGUAUGGAAUCGAGUGUUGGCUUCAUGCUGACCAACUUCAACAUGUUCCUUUUCGGCAAAGAACAUUAUCGAGAUCACAGAAUUUUGAUCGCCUUUUGCUUGUUAUGUUAUUCGUUCUUAAACGAUUGCAUAAUCUUUACUGUGAUUGCAGGAUAUAGAGGAACUUUUGAAUUUCAUCGGUGUAACGAGUUUAGGACCUUGGCAUGUUCUUGCAAAUUUGAAGGAGCUUCUAAGGUCUGUCCAGUCUUCAGAAUAUAUAGAUACCUGAAUUAAUUUUGAUUUUGUAGGAUCAACUAUAAUUAGCUACUUAUUACAGUAUGAAUAGACAACCUGACCUUCUUCACACACGACACAUGUGCGGAUUUUUUUACCAAUCCCAUUUCAUUAAAGAAAAAAAAGAGCUUUAAAAAAGGAUCACACUUUUUUGUUGUUUACAGAAUCAUAAUGUUAAUUAGAGUGGAAUAUUUCAGAUUUCUGAUAAUGAGUAUAUUAUUGAGUAUUGCAGUAAAAAAAUGGGUGUGCAACUUAUUUGAACUUUGAAUGUAUGUUUUGUUGGUGAGAAUAUAAAGUUGAUAAAGAUUUGGUAAAUAGAAUAAAAUACUAUUUUUUAUUAGAAAAAAUAUUUGGUACACUGCCAAUCGAGUUAUAAUUAUCAUGACACAAUAUUAAGGGUAAUUAAAACAUGUCAUAUUACAAAUAAUAAAAUUAUAAUGACUCAAAUCUGCAAACAUGUCAAAAUUUACGUACAAUGAAUUAUUAACAUGUAAAUGUAUAAUAUGGUAUGCAAAAAUAAGAUCAUUGCUUGUUUUUUAAAUUGAAUUGUUAUAACAUAUUGUACAAAAUACAUUGUGAAUUAAGGCAUUCUAUGAACAUGAUAUCAAAAUAUUAAAUUUUUUUAAAAUUCGAUGAUAUGAAUAAUUAUGUAAAAUAUAACAUGAUACAAAAUAACUUGAAAGGAAAAGAGGAAUAAAGAAUUGCAUUGUUUUUGAGGUUUUAAAAUAUUUCAGUUUUAGAUUCAUUUUUCUAGUAUGUUUGGUUUAAUUUUACAUUAGAUUUCCUUUACAGUAUGCACUAGUGAACGCUUAGUAUUCAAUUUAAUUUAAUUCAAAGAGAUAUUGCAUAUACAUAAUAAUGGAUUAUGAUUUUACAUUAAAUUUCAUAGAAGAAAAAAGAAAUAGAUGGUUGAAAAUGAUAAAAUCAUAAGAUAAAAGAGCUUUUAUUUAAAAUUCAAAAAUCAACAAAAUAUUCAUUAUCGCUCAACUUAGCAUAAUUAAACAUUUAGGUGUGAAAAUCAAAUUACAAUUUGAGUAGCUAAACACAUUGCUUGAAAAUGUGAUAAGUAAGAAAAUUGCCCACAUUUGAGUAGCGACAGGUGGUGAUGCAUUUCCCAAUGAGAGAAAACCAAACUCUUCGCCAGUAUGGAUUUAUGUAGAGGACAACAAAAAUUGUCAACAACACAACUACAUAAGAAACCAAAAAGCUCACACAAAAAUCAUAAGUACCUAUCAAACCAUCUUCUCCUUUAUCUUCUGAUACAGUUGAUAUCGUUGAUGGUGAAUCGGUUUUGGAACAACUUUUAUGCAAUAUAGCUCCACAAAGAAAAAGAUUUCCCUCAUAACUGUUUUCAAUAAAGGUCCCAAAUUGAGCUUUUGGUUCGGGAAUACUACCUGACAAGUUGUUGUAUGCCACGCUGAAAACCUCCAAAGAGUUCAACUCUACCAACUGGUUGGGGAUUUCACCACUCAAAUUGUUGUAAGAAAGGUCCAAACUCUCAAUUUGAUGAAGUUUUGCGAAUGAUGAGGGUAUAACUCCUGUCAACUUAUUAUGCGACAAGU